GAAUUGAAUCGAUUUAGCCACAUUUGAAUUUCAAAAUUUAAAUUUAUUACAUCCUCCUCUUUUCUUAUUAUUACACAAACAAAUGCCCCCACCUUUUUUUUAGCUUGCUGAUUGUGCAAGAAAGGAAAAAAGGUACUAUUCGUACUAGGCCUAUGAACUUCACAUCAUAAAAUUUGUCAUGUCUUUUUUCUGAAGCUAAGCUCGGAUUGUAAGUAUUUCACCUUCUCUUUUCUUUCCUUUUUAUAGCAAAUAUAUGAUAAUGCUAUCAUAUCAUGUAUUCAUUUUAUUUUAUUUUAUUUUUAUGUCUUCACGUAGAAGAUGGAGCACCUGAUUCAUCCUGAUGACAAAAUCUUAGGCAUGGCAAGAGGUAUUUCUCUAGUUCGGGCUUCUUCAAUUCAUAAUAGUAGAACGGAUCCAAUUAUUCCUUACAAUAGACCCGUGUUUAAGGAAUGGGCGGUUUUUAAGCAAAAACAACCCUUAGGUCGUUUUGGUCCUCAUUAUUACACACCUGACGGUAAGGAAGAUGUCGUACUUUUUCCACCUUUAGGUUUACCCAAAGAGAGGGAUACAUUGGAAUCUUUAUGUUACAAAAUAUUGAAUGGUCAUCCAAGCUGCGGGGGGUAAAGAUAGGCCACUGGGAGAUAGUGAAGAUAUUGAUGGUUUUGAGAGUUAGGCUGAUUAUAUUUUGUCACGAUAUACCUCACAAUUACAGGAUGCGGGAAUUUUUGGUGGUAUAGUUGCUUCACGAGGAAAGUAUCAUAAAAACAUGAACAUUAUUAAAGCACUCGUAGAGUUGUGGUGUUCAGAAACGAAUACAUUUCAUUUGCCAUACGGAGAAGUUGGAAUUUCCUUGUGGGAGAUUAAAGAACUAAGUGGUCUUCCUAUUACGGGUCAUCUAUACGAUGAAUAUAUUCCUAUGAAUUCGGAAUUAUAUAAUAAAAAUGCUUAUCCAGACUGUCUUAGAGAGCUUUUUGAUGUAUAUCAAUGGAUUAUGACUCGAUCGUCUUGCAAGCGAAUUCGUUAUGAUUUGUGGGUGAACUUCUUCCAUCCAAGUGCAAAGAGAUCGCGUUCCUCCAGGUACAAGGACAUCAAUGAUAAAAAAUUCACACCUUCAUACACAGAAGACACAACUAGAGCUGCUUUUAUUUCUUUAUGGUUAUGCAAUUUUGUGAUGCCCUCAAGUUCAGAUCAUUUUAUUAGACCCGAAGUAUUCGUUAUGGCUUCUAAGCUAGCAUUAGGCGAGAAAAUUGCUUUGGUUCCUGCUAUUUUAUGUGCAAUUCACAUAGCACUAUCAUAUAUGAGUAAUCACCCAGAUGGUCCUGCACAUCCUGGUCCUCAAUUUCCUGUUAAUUUCUUGUAUGCUUGGAUCGGUUUGCAUUUUGAGCAAACUUAUUCUAGAAAAGCUAUAAGCGAUGACAUUAAAAAUAUUGUUGGUUUGAGGAGUAUUCCACAAAUGAUAUCAUUUAUGAAUGCUGCUGCUUCGCCAUUCAAUGCUAAAAGAGCCAGAAUUCAUCUUAGAUCCAGUGUUCAUUUCAUAUGGCGCCCUUUACCUUAUUCUUAUUCUUUCGUCGAUGGUGGAUGGUUGUAUGAUGCGAAGCUUACAACAGGAGAAUGUCGAUAUCCAACAGAAGUUUAUGAAUAUCUUAUUUCUAUUAGACAGAGUGUUAUUCCGCUUCGUUUAAGGAAUAAACUGCAUGCUCAACCAUACAAUCCUCAUCGAUUUUCACGUCAAUUCGGAUUCGAUCAAUACUUUCCAGAAUUUAUUGAUGUCCCUAGAAUAGCUGAUUCUAUCGGGACUUUGAUCGGGUAUUGGGAUCAUUUCCUUCAGUAUGGAAAUUCGGCUAAUUAUUAUAUACCUAAAGUUGAUCUAGUUGGAAAAGUUCUUUUGCAUUGUGCACGUUGGUGGUCCAACAGUGUUCAUUCAAGCUUUAGACAUGGUGUAGCUUACUUAUUAGAUGCCGAUGAACGUCAAAAGAAGAGAAGAACCGAAGAUGCUCUGAAGAAAGAGAAAGGAACUACUUCAUGAUUUAUCAGCUUUACGCAACACAAGGUGUCGGGUUCCACAACAUCAACCAAAGAACCAAUCGUGGCAUUUCCAUUUCCCCCUUCUUAUGAUCAUAUUCAGGCCAGCUUUCCAGAUAAUACUCCUCAACGUGAAGUACUUGGUCUUAGCUUUCCGAUUCAUAAUGAGGUAUCUUAUUUCUUUUCUUUUCUUUUCUUUUCUCUCUUUUUUUUUUAUUUUAUGGUUCCAAAAUUUUGUCAAGGGUACUUCUAUGGAGGCAUGUACCAACAUAUUUGAAGUUCAUCCGACCAAUAUCGAGACUUUUAAGGUAUUUUAUACCUUUUCUUUUGAACACUUACAUAGAGAAUGUGGACUCAAAAAUGCUCUUUUGCAUAAUAUUGUACAAACUCCUAUGGUAAACUACUUUUUCUUCCCUCUUUUUUUUAAUUGUAUUUUUUUUAUACAGACAUGUAAUAUGGAAUCGUCUUCACAAAACAACAAGGAUCCAUCACCGAACAUCGUAGCUGAUGUAACUCGCAAGAAACUUUCUCUUAAUGUAUCUUCAAUAAUAGGUGAUGUUUUUUUUUUUUUAACAUUCUUUUUAUAUGUGCAUGUGGAAUAGAUCAUACUUAUUUUGAAUAACAUACUGACCAAUAGAAUCACAAACCGGAGGGGCUGGGACCAUGGAGGAUGAUAUAUCUCCGUAUGAUGAUGAAUUGGUUGAUUACAGGUCAACACCUUCGCCACCAAAGUAUAUUGAGGUAACUUUAUUUUUCGGUUAAUCCAUAUGCCUUCUAUUAGUCUUAAACUAAGCAUUUGAUUCUCAGCUAGAGAAGGGGUAAGAUAUAGAUAAUAAUGUGUAAUUUUUCAUUAGAAAUCUGUAGCCGCAAAAAUUUUGUAAAUUGGAGCUAUAACGAAAAUGUUAUGGCCCAUUUACAUUUUGGUCCCUAUAUUUACAAAGCAGUCCCUGCAGCCUCAUUGUCCUUUGAUUUUUGAUGCAAAUCUAUAUUCUCGAUCUUUCUUUUUGGUCCAAAAUUGCUCUCAAGGAAUUCAUGGCUGCAAAAGUGCAUAAGUUAGGAUUACAACGGAAAAGUUGUAGCCCGUUUACAUUUUACUCCCUGUUUUUUUUUUACAAAACAGUCCAUGCAGCAUGUAUCUUCAAUUUUGCUCUGAAUAUCAGCAUAUGGUUCCCCCUUUUUUGUUGCAGGAUCCACUCACAGAUGUUGCAGAUAUUGGAGUGUCUUCUUUCAGUGAAGCUUACCCAACUCAUCAUGAGGUAUGUAUUUGUUUUAAACUUCAUCCAUUGAAGGCUAGAGUAUUUUCCUUUCUUCUUUUUCUUUGUUUUUUUUUUUUUUUUUUAGGUCAAAAUUGUUCUAAGCUUAAUUUCAUAUCACGCUCGUAGUCACAUAUUAAGCGUAUUUACUAUUCUUUUACACCAUAACUCUGUUGUUUAGGAUAAGGGUGCUAAAGAAGAGGAUGAAAGUAUAGUAAAGAAAAGCAAAAAUGAAGUUACAAUAGAAAUGCCUUCACUAGGUAAAAGAGAGCGAGUCAUUGAUAUUUCGACUAUGGAAGCACAUAAGAGAGCUCGUUUGGAGACCAAUUUAAAUUCAACUAGUAAGGCCUCACUUUUUUUCUUCUUGUCAAAGUUUCUUUUAAUACAUGAAAAGGCAGUAUGCCCCAUGAAAGCAUCCCGUAUAUUAUCUAUAUAUUUUUUGUUGUCUCUCUCCUUUUUUUUUUUUCAUUUUUGUGCACAGGUUUUCCGGUAGAGUCAAAAGCGAAUAAUGAUCCGGAAGAUGCUUUAUCACCUUACGGUGACGAAGUGGACUACGAGCCUACACCUUCACCACCUGAACCUUUUAAAAAUAAUGAUAUGGUGAAAUUUUAUAUAUUCAUAUAUUUCUUCUUCUCAUUUUCUUUCCCUUUUUUUAUUCUUUUCUUCUCUUUCUCUCUUUUUUUUUUUUUAUAGGAUGUACCAUUUGACGAGAAUGUCGACAUUCGCUUAGAUAGUGGCGCAAGAGAUUUCCGAAGCGAGACACCUAUUAUAGCCAAGUCAUUUUUGAUCGAUCGCAUAAUGGAUACCAUGAAGACAUUCAAUUGUCGCAAAUUUAGGUCGGCUCGAGAAGAAGUAUCAAAUAUUGCCAAUGCUUAUCUGCACUCGGGAUCGAUACGUCUGAAUUGGAAAGGCGCGUAAAACCUAUAUUUGACCAUGCAGAGGUCAUUGAAGAACAGGAAUCAAGUCCAAAUUUUAUUUCAGCUGUUCGACUCAUGAAUGCUGAUGAGAAUCUGGCACUAAGAAAAAGAAAACUUGCUUCCCACAUUAGUACAAAAAGUUCUCUCCUUUAAGCUACUGGAAGUGUCUCUUUAGAGCUUCAACAAACCAGAGAGAAAAUAAGAGAAUUAGAAGAGAGUAUAUUGCAUUUGAAAAGUACAGAAGCGGAAUUGACACUUAGACUCGAAGUGGCUGAUGACUCCUUAAAGAAACUAACACCGACUGAAGAAGAACUGCAAAAGGAUGUCAUUGAUGCAGAAAAGGAGCAUGCUGCAGCCAUUGAAGGUUGUAAUGAUUCUAAAGAAUCCACUGGUCUUCGAGAAUUAAUAGAACUGUUUGAGGAGCGUCGUCAAAUAUUUGAAAUUUGACUUCUUCUUUUCUUCUCUUUGUUAUUUUUGUUUGUCACGAAUGUUAUUUUUGUUUGUCACUAAUAAGAAACAAUAUUUUGUAGUCUCAAUAGUUUGAAUGCUUUGGAUUAUGCUUGGGUAAUAUUGAUCAAGUUCAUAAGUAUUUGAUCUCCUCAUUUUUUAUAUUGUGUUACACUGUGACAAUGGUUAUCUUGUGAGAAUGAAUUUGUUUUGUUUAUUUUGCCUCGAUAAGCAACUAAAAUCACCGCGCAUAACCAACUCUAAAUUGGGUUAGCAUUCUGUCAUUUAAAUAAAUUUUAGCUAGAUACUCUCUCCCAACUUUUAUUUAUGAGUCUCGAGAAAUUUUCUCAAAACAAAGAUCCUUAAUUUGGCACAGCUAACAUUUCAUAUUUUUAUCCCCGAAGUCCGAUGUUAAAAAUCAAGUAUGUUUGUGGCUCAAGUCCGUUAAUGGACUAAUUAAAGACACGGUCAAUCGAAAUUAAAAUGGCGGUCAAUUGGAAAAUAGAUAUGAUUUUAGCAACGUGAUAGAUUUCCACUAGAUAUCUCCCCUAAUUUUUGCCUAGGGUUCUCAAAAGUUUUCCCACCAUCUCUUUUUUUUUUUUAACAUAAUAUUUCUUUAGGAAAUGACCAUUGAUAGGUGGCAUCGGUCUUUCACCUUUGACGUUAAUUAAUUGAUAGGCACCGCUUUCAUAAACUUUCUCCACUACAUAUGGGCCUUCCCAAUUUGGAUCAAACUUCUUUCCAGUGUGUUUAUUGAUUAUAAUCGAUCUACGAAGAAUGAGCACCAACUCCCCAACACUAAAGGUGCAGUACCGGGUGAGCUUAUUAUAUGCUCUUACCAUCUGGGUUUGGUAGAGUUCCAAAUUCUGUUGGGGAGUUAACCCGACUUCAUCUAAUGUAUCUAGCUCAUCAAGUCUGAGUAAAGCAUUUUCUUCAUUUGUUAAUUCAUGUUGAACUGCUAUUCGCAAUGAGGGCAAUUCAACUACUAAUGGUAAUACUGCCUUAGUGCCAAACACCAAAGAGUAGGGUGUUGCUUGAGUUGGCGUUCUAUAUGUGGUUCGAUAGGCCCAAAGAGCUUCUAUGAUUCGCAUAUGCCGUUCUUUUUGAUUUUUGCCAAUGAUUUUCUUUAAUAGUUUUAUCAAAGUCUUUUUAAAGGUUUCAGCCAAUCCAUUAGCCCUUACAUUAUAUAUUGAAGAAUACCGCCAAUCAAUUUUUUGUUGAGUAGCAAAUCUAUUGACUUUGAAACUCUUGAAGGCAGUUCCAUUAUCAGAUAUAAUUCGUCUUGGAACUCCAAAUCGAUAUAGAAUAUUUUCUUUAAAGAAUUUGACAACAUCAUCUGCUUUUACCUCUCUCAGUGGGAUUGCCUCAACCUAUCUAGAAAAAUAAUCUGUAGCAGCAAGAAUAAACUUAUGCCCCCUGGAAGACGGUAGAUUGAUAGGCCCAUCACAUCUGUUCCCCACAUAUCAAAUGGCCAUGAGGCGAUUGUAGGAUGCAAGGGGUUUGGAUGUUGAUGAAUGAAGUCACCGUGGAUUUGACAUUGAUGGCAUUUUCUAGCAUACAUUAUACAAUCUUGUAUCAUUGUUGGCCAAUAAUAUCCCAAAUGUUUAAUUUUGAGGCGCAUUUUUGGCCCUGAUUGGUGUGCUCCGCAAACACCCGAAUGAACUUCAUGCAUGACUUGUUUAAUCUCAUUUGGUGAUAAACAUUUAAGCCAUAACUGAUCAUAAGAUCUACGAUAAAGUUGAUUAUUAACGAAUACAUAUCUCAUUGCUCUUUUCUUAAUUUGUGCUUGUUUUGACUUUUCUUCUGGCAGUUUAUUAUAUUUGAGAAAAUCGAAGUUUAUUAUAUUUGAGAAAAUCGAUGAACGGUUCUCUCCAAUCAUCUUCUAUAUCGAUAUUUGCAACUUCAGCCUCAUUCGUAUCUUUUUCUUGAUUUAAGUCAGCCAGGGAUAAUAUUUUUCAAUUCCGUAUAAUUAUUUGGACCUCAUUCAUGGUGGGAUCAGCAAGCUCUUUAGCCAAUCUAGCUAGGGCAUCGGCUUUUCCAUUUAUAGCCCUGGACACUUUUUCCAUUUUUAUACAUGGGAUUUUCUUCAUAAGAUAUUUUACUUUUGUUUGAUAUUCGACCAACUCAGGUUUAUGUACUUUAAACUCCCCUUCAACUUGGUUGAUGAUUAAUUGGGAGUCUCCAUAGAUAUGCAAUUUUUGUAUGUUCAACUGGAAUGCAAUUUCCAAACCAGCAACAAGGGCUUCAUACUCAGCCUCAUUAUUUGUGCGAGGUUCAGAAAGAGCUAAUGAGUAUCUUAAAAUGCCUCCUUCAGGUGUUACAAAGAUUAACCCUAUCCCAGCCUUAAUCUUAGGGAUAUUUGGACUGAAAGCUGGUUGAAUUGAGGAUGCACCGUCAAAAUACAUUUUCCAAUAGGGUUGGUCUUCUUCAGUAAACAUGAUAUGCUCAUCGAGCAAAUCACAGAUCAAAGGUGAGUCAUCUGGAAUUGGGUGCGCGGCUAGAAAAUCAGCAAGUGCUUGACCUUUGAUGGCUUUCUGUGGUACAUAAGUAAUGUCAAACUCAAGGAGUAUAACAGCCCACUUCGCCAACCUUCCAGUUAAAACUGGUCUUGUCAUUAAGAAUUUAAGUGGGUCCACCCUCGAAAUUAAAUGGAUUUUAUGUUCCAACAUAUAAUGUCUUAAUUUCUUAACGGCAAAUAUGAGGGCUAGACAGUGCUUUUCAAUUGGUGAGUAAGAAUUUUCUGCCCCCACUAACAUCAUGCUGAGAUAAUAUAGAGCAUUUUCCUUUCCUUCUUCAUUGUUUUGAGCAAGAAGUGCACCCAGCGAUCCUUCAAGUGCAGCGGUGUAUAAAAUUAAUGGCCUACCAUGGAUAGGGGCAGCAAGCACUGGGGGACUUAAUAAAUAUUUCUUAAUGUCGUCAAAUGCUGUUUGACAAUCAUCGUCCCAUAUAAAAGGCGCAUCCUUUUUCACCAAUUUGGAAAACGGUUUAAUUCUGCCAGAUAGAUUUGAUAUAAACCUUCUGAUAAAGGCCAAUCUUCCUUGAAAGGAUCUUAAUUGCUUCAAAUUCUUUGGAGGUGGCAAUUCCAUGAUAGCCUUGAUUUUUGCCGGGUCGAUUUCAAUUCCUCUAUGUCUAACAAUAAACCCGAGGAAUUUGCCUGAAUAAACUCUAAAUGCACAUUUAAGAGGGUUCAUUUUCAGAUUAUAUUUUCUUAAUCUGGUGAAAACUGUUCUCAAGUCUUCAAAAUGAUUUGCUUUAUUCACAGUUUUGACCACCAAGUCAUCAACAUAACACUCAACAACCUUGUGGAGCAAAUCAUCAAAAAUUAUUGUCAUAGCCCUUUGAUAAGUGGCUCNGCCUAGGGGUCUCAAAAGUUUUCCCACCAUCUUUUUUUUUUUUUUUAACAUAAUAUUUUUUUAGGAAACGGCCAUUGAUAGGUGGCAUCGGUCUUUCACCUUUGACGUCAAUUAAUUGAUAGGCACCGCCUUCAUAAACUUUCUCCACUACAUAUGGGCCUUCCCAAUUUGGAUCAAACUUCUUUUCAGUGUGUUUAUUGAUUAUAAUCGGUCUACGAAGAACGAGCACCAACUCCCCAAUACUAAGGGUGCGGUACCGGGUGAGCUUAUUAUAUGCUCUUGCCAUCUGGGCUUGGUAGAGUUCCAAAUUCUGUUGGGCAGUUAACCUGACUUCAUCUAAUGUAUCUAGCUCAUCAAGUCUGAGUAGAGCAUUUUCUUCGUUUGUUAAUUCAUGUUGAACUGCUAUUCGCAAUGAGGGCAAUUCAACUUCUAACGGUAAUACUGCCUCAGUGCCAAACACCAAAGAGUAGGGUGUUGCUUGAGUUGGCGUUCUAUAUGUGGUUCGAUAGGCCCAAAGAGCUUCUAUGAUUCGCAUAUGCCAUUCGUUUUGAUUUUUACCAAUGAUUUUCUUUAAUAGUUUUAUCAAAGUCUUAUUAAAGGCUUCAGCCAAUCCAUUAGCCCUUGCAUUAUAUAUUGAAGAAUACCGCCAAUCAAUUUUGUGUUGAGUAGCAAAUCUAUUGAUUUUGAAACUCUUGAAGGCAGUUCCAUUAUCAGAUAUAAUUCGUCUUGGAACUCCAAAUCGAUAUAGAAUAUUUUCUCUAAAGAAUUUGACAACAUCAUCUGCUUUUACUUCUCUAAGUGGGAUUGCUUCAACCCAUCUAGAAAAAUAAUCUGUAGCAGCAAGAAUAAACUUAUGCCCCCUGGAAGAUGGUGGAUUGAUAGGCCCUAUCACAUCUGUUCCCCACAUAUCAAAUGGCCAUGAGGCGAUUGUAGGAUGCAAGGGGUUUGGAUGUUGAUGAAUGAAGUCACCGUGGAUUUGACAUUGAUGGCAUUUUCUAGCAUACAUCAUACAAUCUUGUAUCAUUGUUGGCCAAUAAUAUCCCAAAUGUUUAAUUUUGAGGCGCAUUUUUGGCCCUGAUUGGUGCGCACCGCAAACGCCCGAAUGAACUUCAUGCAUGACUUGUUUCAUCUCAUUUGGUGAUAAACAUUUAAGCCAUAAUUGAUCAAAAGAUCUGCGAUAAAGUUGAUUAUUAACGAAUACGUAUCUCAUCGCUCUUUUCUUAAUUUGUGCUUGUCUUGACUUUUCUUCUGGCAGUUUAUUAUAUUUGAGAAAAUCGAUGAAAGGUUCUCUCCAAUCAUCUUCUAUAUCGAUAUUUGCAACUUCAGCUUCCUUCGUAUCUUUUUCUUGAUUUAAGUCAGCCGGGGAUAAUAUUUUUCGAUUCCGUAUAAUUAUUUGGACCUCAUCCAUGGUGGGAUCAGCAAGCUCUUUAGCCAGUCUAGCUAGGGCAUCGGCCUUUCCAUUUAUAGCCCUGGACACUUUUUCUAUUUUUAUACAUGGGAUUUUCUUCAUAAGAUAUUUCACUUUUGUUUGAUAUUCGACCAACUCAGGUUUAUGUACUUUAAACUCCCCUUCAACUUGGUUGAUGAUUAAUUGGGAGUCUCCAUAGAUAUGCAAUUUUUGUAUGUUCAACUGGAUGGCAAUUUCUAAACCAGCAAUAAGAGCUUCAUAUUCAGCCUCAUUAUUUGUGCGAGGUUCAGAAAGGGCUAAUGAGUAUCUUAAAAUGCCCCCUUCAGGUGUUACAAAGAUUAACCCUAUCCCGGCCUUAAUCUUAGGGAUAUUUGGACUGAAAGCUGGUUGAAUUGAGGAUGCACCAUCAAAAUACAUUUUCCAAUAGGGUUGGUCUUCUUCAGUAAACAUGAUAUGCUCAUCGGGCAAAUCACAGAUCAAAGGUGAGUCAUCUGGAAUUGGGUGCGCAGCUAGAAAAUCAGCAAGUGCUUGACCUUUGAUGGCUUUCUGUGGUACAUAAGUGAUGUCAAAUUCAAGGAGUAUAACAGCCCACUUUGCCAACCUUCCAGUCAAAACUGGUCUUGUCAUUAAGAAUUUAAGUGGAUCCACCCUCGAAAUUAAAUGGAUUUUAUGUUCCAACAUAUAAUGUCUUAAUUUCUUAACGGCAAAUAUGAGGGCUAGACAGUGCUUUUCAAUUGGUGAGUAAGAAUUUUCUGCCCCCACUAACAUCCUACUGAGAUAAUAUAGAGCAUUUUCCUUUCCUUCUUCAUUGUUUUGAGCAAGAAGUGCACCCAGCGAUCCUUCAAGUGCAGCGGUGUAUAAAAUUAAUGGCCUGCCAUGAAUAGGGGCAGCAAGCACUGGGGGACUUAAUAAAUAUUUCUUAAUGUCUUCAAAUGCCGUUUGACAAUCAUCAUCCCAUAUAAAAGGUGCAUCUUUCUUCACCAAUUUAGAAAAUGGUUUAAUUCUGCCAGAUAAAUUUGAUAUGAAUCUUCUAAUGUAUGCCAAUCUUCCUUGAAAGGACCGCAAUUGCUUCAAAUUCUUUGGGGGAGGCAAUUCUAUGAUAGCCUUAAUUUUUGCUGGGUCGAUUUCAAUUCCUCUAUGUCUCACAAUAAACCCAAGAAAUUUGCCUGAAUAAACUCCAAAUGCACAUUUAAGAGGAUUCAUUUUCAGAUUAUAUUUUCUUAAUCUGGUGAAAACUGUUUUUAAGUCUUCAAAAUGAUUUGCUUUAUUUACAGUUUUGACAACCAAAUCGUCAACAUAACAUUCAACAAUUUUGUGGAGCAAGUCAUCAAAAAUUACUGUCAUAGCCCUUUGAUAAGUGGCUCCUGCAUUUUUUAGACCAAAGGGCAUAACCUUAUAACAGUAUAUGCCAAUUGGAGUUCUAAAGGCGGUGUGUUUUUCGUCCUCAGGCGCCAUCUUUAUCUGGUUAUACCCAGAGGAACCAUCCAUGAAGGAAAACAUCUCGUAACUUGAAGUGUUAUCGAUCAUCAGUUCAGUGACUGGCAGUGGAAAAUCAUCCUUUGGGCAUGCUUUAUUCAGAUCUCGAAAGUCAACGCAUACGCGAAUUUGACCAUUCUUCUUCUUUACUGGGACUAUGCUCGCGAUCCAGUCAGCAUAUUUUUCUUCUCUGAUGAACCCUGCUUCAAUAAGCUUUUUAGUUUCUGUUAUGAUCUGUUCUUCUAAGUCAACUCUUGUCCUCCUUGGAGCUUGUUUAACUGGAACCACGUCUGGGCUAAUGGCAAGUUUAUGAACAGCCACACUCGGAUCUAAGCCGGGCAUUUCUUUAUAUGUCCAAGCAAAACAGUCUUUAUAUUCUAACAACAAUGUUUUCAACAUGUCUUGAUCUUUUUCUGGAAGUAGUGCACUAAUAUAAGUAGGUCUUCGAUCUUCUUCGUUGCCCAAAUUUAUUUCUAAAAGCUCAUCAACAGUGGCUUGCCCCCCAUCUUCAAGCUCUUGUGGAGCAUCUUUUAAUUCCAGAAGCUUUGUUUUUACUGGCUCAGUUGAGAUCGUGUCCUUAUCUUGCUUUAUGUCCUUUAUUGUAAUCAUAGUGCAAGUAUGUCGUAUGACACGUGAAUCAUUAUUGGUUAUCUUGGGCACAUGAGCAGAUUGAUGAUAUCCUAGCCCUUUCAUGUGUACCGUUCGGCCAUUUGGAAGCACGACUCUUUUUUGUGGUGGAUUCCACAUUUUCUGAAAAAAUUUUCGAUUAGCUCGUGACCUUCUUACAGGAAAUCCCGAUCUAUUUAUCAUGUUUUUGAGAUUCUUCGGAAAGUAUUUUGGCAUGUUGACAUCUUCAUAUAUUUCCUCAUCAGAGUUAUCAAGCUUGAUAAGAUCAGAGGGUUUAUAAUCAUCUGACUUGUAAAAAAGGAUCCCUUUCUUUAUUCUUUCUUUUCCUUUGACUUUCUCAACUUGAGGAGGUACAAAGAAGGUUUUUAGAUCAUUCACUUUUGUUGGCUCACUUAUGUGAAGAGAUUUUAUAUGUCCAUAUGGAACUCUAGUAAUAUUUAAGGAAUCCUCAAUCAAUUCAGGAGUUCUUAUGAACAUAUUUGACUCAGAUGUCGAGAAAAUCUCUUCAUCUUCUGAUGAGUCUUCACCCCAGGGGAUGUUUAACUUGAAAGAAAAUGUUUCCAACAUUUUCCUUAAUUGUUCUUCAUCAUCGGAAUCUUCUGAAUCACUUCCGAAGUGUGGAAUCACAUUUUCUUUAUUAUCCUCAAUUUUUAUCUUUCCCUUUGACAAUUUUUUAUCGCUCUGAACUUUACCCUCUUCGAGUUCGCGAGACAAUUUUAUAUCUUUUUCAGAUUCUGCAAAAUACCUCGCAUCUUCAUAUCGUACUUCAUGCACUCCAAAUGGGCGUAUAUCACCAUCAAUUCUGAAUUCUUCUCCAUCCUUAAUAUAUUUCAUACAUUGAUGAAGAGUAGAGGGGACAACAUUAUACUCGUGCAACCAAGGCCGUCCCAAUAAUGCUUUAUACGAAGUAUCUGCAUUUAUCACAUAGAACUUUACAUCGGUCCGCAAUGCUCCAAAUUUUAUAGGAAGAAUGAUCGACCCGAGAGCUUUUUGGCUAUGCUGAUUAAAGCCUUGAAUCAAAAUUUUUUCUGAGGACAGAUGAUCGACAUUCAGAGCUAAACUUUUCAAAGUUCUUAAAGUCAAAAUGUUGACUGAGGAUCCAGGAUCGAUUAGAAUACGAUUAAUCUUCUCUCCAUCGCUUGUCCCAGUCACAUAUAACGGCCUAUUGUGAUGAGCAGUUCCCAACAGCAUGUCCUCAUCAGUGAAAGUAACAUUGGCGAUAUGUCUGGAGUACAAUGCUUCUUUCAUAUUCAUCUCAGCAAAAUACGCAUAAAAGGGCUCGGGGUUUUGUAAAGCGUAAAUGAGUACAUCCCGAAGUUCUCUGGACAUCAUCAGGGCGUCAUACACACUCAACAAGGCUGGCACUUUUCUUAAAUGGGAAAGUAUGUUAUACUCAAUCUUUGAUAACUUUCCUUGAUUUGAUGAAGUCGGUGCCUCUUCAUUUAUCUGAAUUUCUUUAUCUUUACCAUUUUGCGGCUGCCCUUGUCUUUCUGGUAACACCUUUCCAGACUUAAGCUUAAUUUGGAAAGAAUCCUCAGCUCGUUCAUCUUCCUUGGUAUUAGAAUCGACACCACAGGUAAUAGUUUGGCACGUUUCGACUCUAGUCUUUUCAUAAGUAUUCAACUUAUCAAGUAUCUCUUUUAAUUGCUCUUUCAUAUUUUUUAUUGCCAUAGCCACACAGUCUAUGUUUGUUGCUAGAGUGCGUACAUCAAUCUGCACUCUCCUCAAAUCAUUGUCUAUCUCGAGAAGACGAUAUUCGACUCUCCUUGCACCGUUAUCCCUGCUGGGGGUAUUGUAUGCUAUCCAAGCACUAUCACUAUCUUCACAUGCCAUAGCAGGUUGUUUAACCAUAUUCCUUUGAUUUAUGGAGUCUUCAGAUUGCUCUUCGGAGACUAUUAUUACCCGACACGACUCCUUGAACUGUAAUUUAUUUUUUCUAUGGUCCCGAAGUUUCACGCAUACAUCGUAUGCAUGACCUCUCAUUCCACACCAAAAACAACGCAAUUUCAUAUCAUCCAAAGCAUCAUAACAUGCUUUUCUGAAUUCUUCUGGAGUAAUGGAUUGUUGUUUCUCAAAUCAUGGGAGAUGUUUCUUCCAUCGUUGUUUUUCGGAUUCGGCAACCGUCGGUUGAUCGAUCUUUGGCUUCACCUUGUGCAUAGGCAAAUUCUUCAUGUUUUUCCAUUGGCGGCAAUUUUUCAGGGUGUGUCCCCAUAUGUUAUGAUAGGCACAGAAUUCUGUCAACGUAACUUUAUUCUUUUCUUCGUUAUUCCCUUUAAUUAGAGCUUUAUUAUUUUGGUGAACCUCUGAUUGAUGGGUUAGGGUUGUAUUCUUCUUCUUUUUUAGUAAAGAUGACCUUGCAUUUCCUCUCAUCGACAUUCUUUUAAGCUCUCGAGCAAUUAUGUGUGCUUCAUAGAAACUUGCGUCGUAUUCGGCUUUUGUUGACUUUGAUUGCUCCGAGCCUUGCUUCUUAUCAUCUUCCUUUAAAUCAGCUUGCAUAGUUGUGACUCGACAAGUCUCGACCCGAUAUCUUUUCGACGCUUCAGUAACAUCGGUUUUGAGCAUAUCUAUGAUAGUUCUCAUUUGAAUAUCUAUGCCUUUUAUACCACCGAUUAUUUCGUUCACGUUCAUCUUCAUAACGUUAAUUUCAUUGUGCAGCCUCCUCAUUUCUCCCUCCAUUCUGAUUAAGCGACACUCCAUCCUAUACAAUUUUUUCAUUGGAUCAUGAUAAGUUAAAGUGUCGUAUAAUUCCAAAGGAUCAACAUAAGCAUUAUAGUUUGGUGUGGAUGUCUGUUGAUUUGCUCUCAGGGUCGGCGCAGGUCUUUUUAACACGUCAUCAGAUGUUGUAAUGAUACGGCAUGAUUCCCGUAAGUAAGGAAUAGUCUUGUGCUUAUUUUCCUCCUGGAUUUUCAAAGUUGUGCUUAUGACACUUUGCCUGAUGCUUGCCCUUUGAGAAAACUGGCAUUUUGGUCUUCUUAUAUGUUGAAAAGUGCGAUAGUUUUCUAGGUUAUGUCCUUUCACUUGAUGAAAAGGGCAAUACAUAGGUGUAUUUUUGCUGUCAGAAUACUGAGAAUUAACGCCUCCCGUCGGCGUCGUUCUCGAACAUUCCCCUUUGUUAAAUUUUUUAUUGACUCCACCCUUAUUUUUGAUUUCUAUAAGGGGAGUUUUUCCUUUAUCUUUUUGAGAAGUUUCAGGUGAAUGCUGAUUUGAAGAUCCACUUGUAGGCUCGAUAUCUCGUUCUCUGUUAUUUUGCGACUGAGUCUGUUGAGGGAGAGGAGUAAUCUUCAUUAAUUGUUCUCUCUGGCUUCGAUCCCGAUCAACAUAGAGAACAUUACAUUCAGUUGUGCUUUCAUAUCCAAUAUUUUAUCAUUCACCUUGUGAAAGCUGCAGCGUGUCAUUUCUUUUAUUUCUGCCAAUUGGUUAUGAAAUUCUCUGAGGUUCCCUUCUUGUUCCCUAACGUGGCUAGAAGGAAAGAUAAUUUCCUCAUCAUCACGUUGUGCGGUGAUGACUUUGCAAGUCUCUCCCUAAAAAGGCUCUUCUUUUUCUUUACACUCCUCGACAGGAAUUUCUCUUUCAUCAGAGCCCUUCUUUUUCUUAGCCUCUUCUAUUGCUUUAAAAAUAAAAUCAUGAAUCAUAAGAGGCUCUCUUUCAACUUGUUUAUAUUCUUCCAUUGAGUCGAUAUGUUCCUCAAUAGGCCGCUUCUUAUGUUGUGGUUGAGCCGGCUCAACAAUUUUUUUAUUCUUCUUUACCCGAGUUAUUCUGCGCCUUGACUUGGCUGAAGUAUUAAUUGGAGGUGUGGGCUUAUCCUUAGAUUGCACUUCUGGGUUUAAGGGGUCUCGCCAUUUUAUUUCUGGAACAUCUUUUAAAUAUUUUAACAUCUUCCGAUUUUUCUUAGAUAAAAAUAUAUUCCAAAACUCGGGGGGAAAUGCAUUCUCAAUUUCUUCCAUAUUUUUGGUAUCAAUCAGAUUGGUCUUUUCGACUGGAGCUUCUGAUAACACUGAUUGUGAAAGAGUGAUUGCGCCGCUCCUAUAUUGUUUUUCAACCCAGCCUUUGAAAACCCAGCAGUCUUCAGUUGGAUGGCUGAUUAAUCUAUGAUAUAGGCAAUAGUUCGGAUCACUGGUUUUCCCUACAUCCUCUGGCUUCUUUGGCUCGGGCAGUUGAAGACCAUUUUUAACGGCAUCAUUAAAUAUUUUCUUAACCUUUUCCCGUUUGAAAGGGUACACUUUGUUUCUUCGCUCCUCUAAAGAAAGCCCUUUGGAUUAUUGCCCCUAACACAGGUUUUACAGGGGUCUGUUCAACUGUAGAGGUAAUUGCCUUCUUUCCUUUCUCUAUCAUAUUCGUGCGGGCCGGUCUGGCUUGUGCCAACUUCGCCUCAACUCUUUUGUUAUCAUCUUUUUUUAUCUUUUGUAAGUUUAAGAGGACCUGGGGAUUGGUUCUCUCCAAUCUAGAAAUAUUUGAUAUUAAUUCAUGAAAAGUGGAACAACUAGAUGUGCAGAGAAAAGGGGCCAUCCAAUUAUCAAUAUUGCCCAUGACAAGACCAACGGCUUGAGACUGGUCUAGAGGUUGCUCACACCUUAUACUUAAGUUCCGCCAUCUUGUAAUGUAAUCUAGCAUUGUUUCAUCUUUUCUUCGUCUGGUGGCUACCAGAUCAGCGAUAGUAAUCUUAUCGCUAACGGUGGCGAAUUUUGCUCUGAAAGCUUCUUCCAUGUCGGCCCAAGUUUUAAUGGACUCAUCUUCGAGGGAGUAGUACCAUUCAAAAGCUAUACCUGAUAAGCUUUGUGGAAAUUAUCGCAAGAGUAGAGGUCCGUUACUCCCCGUAUUUCCACACAUGGCCUUAAAAUGUGCUAUAUGCUGAUCAGGGUUACCAACACCAUAGAACAUCUUGAACUUAGGGACCUGAUACCCUUCUGGAAAAGGUACGUUAUCGUAUUCCGAUAGGUAAGGGUGUCCUUUCCCUUUCAGUUUUGGAUGUGCCCCUGCUACCGUCUCGUUAACUUGCGAAGUGAUCAAAUCAUGAAUUUCUUCCUUAGUCAAAGAGGUAGUCUCUUUAAGAACAGUUGUUUUAGCCUGUUCAUCAAUGACUUGUGGUAUGUGUGCUUCCGGCUGGGUUAGAAUCUUGGUUUGACGCCGUUGAUCCCCCAAUUGCUUCUGCACAUUCAACAUCAAACUCAUGACCUCCUCCAUCUUCUUAUAGAGAUUUAUGAUAUCUCUAUCCUUUUCAUCAACUUUCUUUUUCAAGGAUGCAAUCAUAACAUCCUUUGGAUCCCUUGAGAAGUAGACAACCUCCUCUUCCUCUCGGGGGUCAGAUGGAUCACUAGGCAUAUCAUCUUUAUUCUCCAUAUUUUGUGUUUGCGAAGAGCUUGCUUCCUUAGCUCUUGCUUUCUCUUCCGCGGCUUUUCUUGCAGCAGCUCUUGUAAGGAUUUGCUGAAUAGUUUCUUCUUCAUAAGCGGCCUCACUUGACGGCGUGUGUCCAAUAACUCUCACAGUGUGAAUCUCCAAAUUCUCUAUUUUAGAUUUUUCUUCUUUAAUCUAAGCAAGAGUUUUAGGCUUCCACUCUGUCUUUCUUCCUUCCCAUGAUAGUGUUGACUUUCGUUGCCACUUCGGCUUCUCAAUUUUCUUCUCUAGGUUCAUUCUUCCUUUUGCAGCCUUAAAAGUUUUAUAUAUCUGCUUGAAGACAGAGUUCUUGUCAUUGUUUCUCAAGCAAGGACAUGCAAAAGAAGGUUUUAAAUGGGCCAUUUCUGACUCGGGGCGCAGAAUGGCAGUAGGUGAGUUUUUUCUCACAAAUCUCAAGGGUGCAUAGCGGUUACGGGCCAAAACGUCGGGCCCGGCGACAAACCUAUUAAGUUGGGUUUGUUGAGACUUGUUUUCUUUGUUCAUCUCCUGCCGCUUCAAAGUACGACGAAGAUUUCUCUUGAAUGACUUGGUCACAGUAUCCUUGGGGAACGUCAGCCUAUUGAAGACUGACGCUUUAGGUGCCAUAUCAAGUGGCGAUGUUUCGUCAAUUCGGUUUUGGAACACCAGUCUUCCUUGUAAUUCCAUUUUCUUUGAAGCACUAAUAGAAGUCAUCCUCUCCUUCACAGGAGGGCGAGGGUGGUUGGGAAUGACGACAUCCGGACGCCUCCCACGAAAGGGAAGACGUGGAACAUCAUUCGUGCCUGUAAUAACAUUGAAAGGGGCCAUAGCUGCAGCUCUAGCCUCUUCUGGGAUGGUGCCAAACUGGAUCGCAGCACCAGCGGCUCCAAUGGUGAGGACAGAUGCCGGUAGGCAAACCUGACCUGCAUUGAUCAUCAUCGAACCUGUAGCAGUAGUAGCGUCCUUCAGUGCCAUUUCUCCUGCAAGAGAUAAUGACUGUAGAUUAAAUAUAUAUCAUUCAAUUCUAUUAGCAUAACAUUGGUCUCAAAGAUGGAAGGAGAAGCCAGGUCCCACCGGGCGUGCCAUUUUGUCUGCGGCCACGAAUGACGUACCUUGCACGGUUAAUCUUAUUUCUAUUUUCCGUGAGGUAGUAUUCAUGAUUCAGAUUAACAUUUAAUUAUAUAUGGUUAUCAGGUAUUGUGGAUUCAUGGCUUCCAAUAAACGCAAGCGUUUAUUGUUAAUUACCCCUACAAAAUGUUAGGGCACCUUCGAUCAAGAGGCCUCUGUAAUGCUGAAAUAGACUGAAAUUAUAUAAAAGAUGAAUUUUAUAACAUAAUUCACUAUACAAUUACAUAGCAUAACCAGGGACAUACCCCCAGUGUACAUGAAUAAAAGAGAAAAUGAUUAGUUCAACGACAUGAGUUUGACGGUCGAUUGAACUUAAUUUGGAUUACACCUAUAAUUUUAAGGGGUUAAUCCAAUUAGAUUUAACUAAAUCCUAGUUGCAUGUAUUAGGAUUUAGUUGGGUUUGAAUUGAUUGGACUCUAAUUGUAUGUGUCAAAGUCCAAUCAGAUUUAAGUUCACCAUAAGGUGAGGAAUAGCUAAAUCUACAUGUAUUAGAAUUAGCCGAUUUGAUUUAGAUUAACUCUAAUUAUACAUAUUAGAGUCUAAUUAAUUUAAUUGAACUCUAAGUAUGUAUAUUAGAGUCAAACCAUAUUUGAGUUCACUCUAAGGUGAAGGAUGGCUAAAUACUAAAUAUAUGUAUUAGGAUUAGCCAAAAUUGAUUUAAAUUAAACUCUAAUUAUACAUAUUAGAGUCUAACUUGGUUUCCUUUGUUUGAACUCUAAGUAUAUGAAUUAGAGUCCAAUCGACUUAAUUUGAUUAGGUGAAACCUAAUUCAUUAUUUUUACCUUAGUCAUAUAUACAAAGAUAAAAAGAUGGUUUGAUCAAUUCUAAGCAUAUAUUUAGAAUUUGAUCGAGUUUGAAUAUGGUUGUGAUUGGAAUAGUUUGUUUCUAAGGACCCGGUAUGGAGGUUGGAUUAGGUUGUGCAUGACUUGGGUUUGAGGUUAGGUUUGGACUUUGAUUUGGUUAUUAUGGUAUAGGUUUCAUAUAUGGCUUGUCAAAUUUGGAUUGGAUUGGAAUUAAAGAUUGGGUUCAGCUAGCUUGGACCAAUCCGAAUUAAAUAAUUGGGUUGGGUUUAUAUUUAGUCUUGGACAUGAACUUGGGCUCAUUCGGAGAUAUAAUUAGGCUGAGUUUAUAUUUGGCCUUGGAUAUGAACUUAGGCCCAUUCGGAGAUAUAAUUGGGCGGGGUUUAUAUUUGGUGUUGGACAUGAACUUGGGCUCAUUCGGAGAUAUAAUUGGGCUGGGUUUAUAUUUGGUGUUGGACAUGAACUUGGGCUCAUUCGGAGAUAUAAUUGGGCUGGGUUUAUAUUUGAUCUUGAACAUGAAUCUGGGCCCAUUCGGAGAUAUAAUUGUGCUAGGUUUCUAUUUGGUCUUGGACAUGAACUUAGGCCCAUUCGGAGAUAUAAUUGGAUUGGGUUUAUAUUUAGUCUUGGACAUGAACUUGGGCCCAUUCGGAGAUAUAACUGGGCUGGGUUUAUAUUUGGUGGUGGACAUGAACUUGGGCCCAUCUAGAGAUAUAAUUGGACUGGGUUUAUAUUUGGUGGUGGACAUGAACUUGGGCUCAUUCGGAGAUAUAAUUGUGCUGGGUUUACAGUGUUAAGAUUAGGCCCGUACAGCUCAUUCAAACUUGAGAUUUCAACAGAAAAUUUCAAAGACACUCUGAAAUCACGUUUUAAAUUUGAGUUUCAAAUCCAUAGAUAAAUCCUCAUUUAGUGUGUGUGUGUAUAUAUAUAUAUAUAUAUAUAUAUAUAUAGUAUUUGAAAAGAGUUAAAAAAUUCAAGAUAAUUUAUGUUUUGAAUUUUUAAUUCAAAACAUAAUGAACAAAUGAAUAAACAAAUAUUUUCUUUCUUCCGUCUCCCAUCUUUGAGUAACAAUAAUAAUAAUUCCUCGCCUCCUUUUUGCAAUAUUUAUCAAUAUGAGCAUUAAUUAAUAUAGUUGGCAACAGCGCAGUGUUCAUGGCGAUCACCAAAUUAAACUGAUUAUGUACAUAUAUGUCUCUUUUUUUUUUUUUUAACGACAAAAAGUUCCGAUCCUCAAUCGUCGUCGUAGAAUGCAUGAAAGACUUCAAAGCAGAAUCAGACUUGGAAAUUAAGCCGAAUCCGCAAAGCACCAAAAUAAUUACUUUAUCAAUACAGGCUGCGGCUUCAUCAUAAUUAAUUGCCGAAUCCAUCAAGCACCAAAGCAAUUACUUUAUCCAUAUAGGCUGCGGCUUCAUCAUAAUUAAUUGCCGAAUCCAUCAAGCACCAAAGCAAUUACUUUAUCAAUAUAAGCUACAGCCACAUAUCUAUUCAUCAUAAUUAAUGUACAUCUCCUUAAUUUGCAUGCAUGUGAGGGAGCUUGUUCACGUAAUACACAUGUUAUUUUGCGCGGUAGAUGAGUGGAGGCCGUUCUUCUCUUCUGCCGACGGCUAAGCGCCAAACGGAAGAUCGCCGGCUUCACGUCUUCUCCGUCAUGGUUGUCGAUGUGCCGUUAAUUCCGUCGACGGCUAAGCGCCGAACGGAAGAUUGUCGGCUUCACAUCAUCUCCGUCGUGGUUGUCGAUGCGCCGUUAAUUCCACCGACGGCUAAGCGUCGGUGAAUGAAGCUCCGCCAUGGUCGUCGAUACGCCGUUACUUCCGUCGACGGCUAAGCGCCAAACGGAAGGUCGUCAGCUUCACGUCGUCUCCGUCGUGGUUGUCGACACGCCGUUAAUUCCGCCGAUGGCUAAGCGCCGGCGAAUGAAGCUCCGCCGUUGUUGUCGAUACGCCGUUAAUUCCGCCAUGGUCGUCGAUGCGCCGUUAAUUCCGCCGACGGCUAAGCGCCGGCGAAUGAAGCUCCGCCGUUGUUGUCGAUACGCCGUUAAUUCCGCCAUGGUCGUCGAUGCGUCGUUAAUUCCACCGACGACUAAGCGCCGGCGAAUGAAGCCCCGCCGUUAUUGUCGAUACGCCGUUCAUUCCGCCAUGGUCGUCGAUGCGCCGUUAAUUCCGCCGACGGCUAAGCGCCGGCGAAUGAAGCUCCGCCGUUGUUGCCGAUGUAGAGAUGGACGGAGGCUAUUCUUCUCUUCCGCCGACGGCUAAGCGCCAAACGGAGGAUCGUCGGCUUCACAUCAUUUCCGCCAUGGUUGCCGAUGAAGCUUCGCCGUUGAUGUAGGGAUGGAGGGAGGACGCGAGUAUUAUUAUUAUUAUUAUUUUUUUGUAAGGAGGAGAAGAAAGAAAAUAUCAUUCGUCUUUUUUUUAAUGGAUGGAUAUCUCUACCUUUUUUUUUUGAACGAACCUUGUUUUUCUCUCCUUUUUUGCCUAAACAGUUGAUCUCUAACAACCUCUAAAAAAAUUCUCCAACAAUCUCUAACAACCUCUAAAAAUUCUCCUCCUUUUGUUUUUCAUAUCAUUUCCCCUUUUAUAGGUUUUCUAGUUAGUUAGUAGAUGGGAGAGUUUUUUUUUUUUAGUGGGUUAGUGGGUUAAUGGGAGAGAUUUUAGUGGGUUAGUGGGAAGGUGGGAAGGCUUUUUUUUUAUAUUAUUAUUUUUUGAUGUGGGGGUGAAUGGGAAGUUAGGAUUUUUUUUUUUGUGCGGCCCUUUUGUGUGGCCCACACAAGAGAUAUGAUUAUCAUGUAUUCAUAUUUAUGAGAGAGAUGGUGGGAUCCACAUCUCUAACUAACCACUUUUUUUCCUCUUCUUUUGUUGUGCCACCCCCCUGGCGUACCAGCCUUUCUUUUUUUUCUUUUUUUUUUCUUUUUUUUUUAUAUGAGGUAAGGAGAAUAAUAAUAAUAAUAAUAAUAAUAAUAAUAAUGGGGAUAAAUUUGGGGUGGAUCUAUAUUCGGGCUUAGGUUCAGAUUCAAACUGGACUUGAAUUGAAUUCGAUUUAGCCACAUUUGAAUUUCAAAAUUUAAAUUUAUUACAUCCUCCUCUUUUCUCAUUAUUACACAAACAGGUUUAUUCUUCCCCUUUUUCUUGGGAUUUAAGGUUUGAUCUCCUCUUUUGCUUCUUGGUGCUACUUCCUCCAUGUUGCAGGCUUGGAGCUUGGACUUGGAGCUUGAUAGAGAGAAGAUCAUCACACCUAGUGGACUUUAAGCCUUGAUUGAAGCUUCUAAGAGGUAAGCAACUUAUUCUUUCAUCUAGAUUUCAAGUUUUAAUGGUUGAUUUGAGAUGAAACCCUAGAAUGAAAACUUAGGGUUGAUUUUGGGCCAUUUGGAUUUAGGGCUUUUGGAGCUUGAUCUUUUGGAUUAGAACCUUCCUCUAGGUUGCAUUGGAAGGGUCUUCUAGCUUCUGUUUGAAGAUCGAGAGAUGCUAUCACCAUUUUAGGUGAGUUUUUGCCCUUUGCUAGAAUUGGUUAAUGUUUGAGCUUAGGGCUUUUCGUAACGUUCGUGUAUCUCUUCUCUUGUAACCUUUAGGGUGCUAGGAGAAUUGUAGGCAACUCCGUUCAGUGAAAUGAAGGAGUUUUAGCGAAGCUUCGGUGGGUUUGACCUCACCGAGGAUGAGAAAAUUUUAUUUUUGUUGAUUUGGCAUUUUCAUGAUAGAUGCAUUAUUUAUGAAUUUUAGAAUGCUUAAAAUACUUAUAUUGUAUACAAUGCAUUUUUGGACCUCUAUGUAGUAGAGAGCUUGCAUGUGAGAUUUAUGCAUGAGAUUAGCAUUCGCAUUUGGGACUUGGAAUUAUAUUUCAUAUAGUGAAAAUGACGAUAUAAUAUGCCCUUGGAUGUAUGAGAAUACAUUAGGCCAUAAAGUGGCUUGGGACUUGAAUAUCAUGUAAAUUAGUGAGCUAAUGUCAAAAAGCGACAUUGAGCUUGGGUUAUAUACGAACCUUGUAAAUAAUGCCAUAAAGAGGCAUGGGAAUUGGAACAUGCUUUGAUAUAGUAAUGUUAUAGUGUCAUAAAGAGGCACUAGACUUAGUGAAUGUUGGAACUUCACAUUGUGAUAUAGAACUAGAUCGUUGGGUUACUAGUGGUUAUUACCAUGUUAGAGACAUGAUGAUUGGAUACUUGAGACGGUGACUAUGCUUACUUGCCAUUUGUGCUUAUUCGCACAUGCUUGUGAGGGUCACUCCCUACAAGCCGGCACUCCGGAGUUGGCCUACACGACUUAUGUUCGCUCGUGCGGUAUCGAGAAACCUACGGGGUCGGGAAGGGUAGACUCAUUCCUAGAGUGGGAAUGUUGGAGCUACGGCCGGCACUUAGGUGGCACAAGUUGGACUACACUUGUGUAGGUCCUAAAACAAGAUUGAACAAUGACAUCAAUCCAUAAUGAUAAUCACUACUAGAUAGGGUGUAGUAGCUGGAUUACCUUGACAUGCUUAAUGCAUACCUGUGGACAUUUGAGACAUGUAGUAUACUUAGUAAUAUCGCUCAUUGCAUCAUAGUAUACUUGCUGCCAUGUGGGAUCAUACUAGUUAUGUAUUGGACAUACUUGAUCAUGAUAGAAUGAAUGUACCAUAUAUUGUCAUCAUAUUACUUAUGGCAUAGUAGUUUAGCAUUUAUACAUACUUCAUAAAUGUAGUUUAUUUCCGUUGCUUUUCGCAUCUACCUUAUUCUUUUGGGCCUAGUGGUGCAUUGUGCUAAGGUUAGUAAUUGCCUACUGGGAACUAUAAAUUAUAGUUCUCACGCCCCCUAUUUCUUGUUUUCUUUCAGAGCCUUCCACACCGGGUAAGGCUAGGGACCGCGGAAAGGAUAUCGUCUCGCGCUAGCUUGUUGGCGAGGGACGUAUCGAUAGGUGGUCUAACUCUCAUUGGCUUUAUUUUGGAGAGGUUGAAAGUUGUACCUGUGUAUAGAGACCACCCCUUUUGUAUUUUGAGACAAUUGAUGUAUUUACUUUAUAUUUUAUAUUAGUGGAUCAGUUUUCUUUUCCUCUACAUGUUGUUAGAAUUUAGCUGCUCGUUGCUCUGAUAUCUCUAGUUGUCUUACUUUUCUUGCUUUCAUAUCUAUAUUGUUGUAGACGCCUUAUAUGCGCAGGCAUAUGGCGGGUCUGGGCACACACCGGGCAGGCCUACGCCGGGUCCCGGGGCGUGACACACGGAGCAAACAAACACCGUCGGAUAAAAUCCGAACUGAAACCGCGUUCCGCCGGCGAAUUUUGCCGAAAAACGCAUCAAAAUCGACUUUCGAUUUCCGCGAAGGCUCACGGACCUUGGACAAUCAGUCCAGAGGUGACACACACACAUACACACUGCCCACAGUAGCCACAAGGUGCACAAUUGCAUAAAAGUCCCUACAUUUAUAUAAAAUCCUAAUGUUUUAUGUAAAUCGGGUGAUUAUGUGGCUCGUUCUCGCAAACCGAGGACUUCCAAGGUCUGCCGAGACUAGGGAUGGAACUGGGCCCGAGCCUAAACAAGGCCCGACCCCAUUAAGGCCGGCAAAUGAGCGAGCCAGCUCGCGUUCGACUCGCGUUCGAUUCGAUAUUUGGCUCGCUCGAGCUCGACUUGAAAUUAAAUGAGCCGAGCUUGAAUAAAAAAAAAGGCUUGAAAUUCAUUUCAAGCCGAGCUGGAGUAUUGCUCGGCUUGUUCGAAUUAGGCUCGAAAAGCUCAAAUAUAUAUAAGAUCUAGACUUUAGAUCUCAAAUAUAAAAAUUGUAUCAUCACUUUUUGAAGGAUAUUUAUUUUCAACUAUUCAUUUUUCUGUUCACUUGAUGGACAAGAGAAUAAUAUCGAAAAUGUGUGAAAUUUGAUUUCCAGAUAGUUUAAAUAGUUUAGAUCAUGUUUAAUAGUGCCGAUCAUCAAUUUGGAAGCUCUAUCAUCGAAAACAAAUCGGUAGUAAACUGAGCCGUUUACUACCGAUAGUAUUCUAGCAAAACUCUAUAUAUAUAUAUAUAUAUAUAUAUAUAGAGAGAGAGAGAGAGUCCGGCUACUAUACUAUUGAUAGUACCACGCCCUUGGUACUAUUGACUUUUCUACCGUUAGAUUUAUCAUUUGAUCAUUUCCACCCGUUAGAUUAUACUAUUAAACCAACCACCCACUCAACCCUAGGGGACCGCUGUCAAUUUAACCGGGGACCACUAUCAUCCUAACCGCACAUCCUUUUAUCCAACGACCGAAAACUCAAUAGUACCAAAGGCUUAGUACUAUUGAUAGUAUAGUAGCAUAAUUCUAUAUAUAUAUAUAUAUAUAUAUAUAUAUAUAUAUAUAUAUAUAUAUAUAUAUAUAUAUAUAUAUNNNNNNNNNNNNNNNNNNNNNNNNNUUAAUUAUAUAUAGGCUGAGUGAAUAAUCUAAGUUUAGUUAAAAUUGGGUCAAUAUUGUUGGCCCAUAAAAACAAACCCAAUAGACAAAUAAAAGAGCAAAAUUUUACUAAAUUUAUACAUUUUUCAUUUGUUUCUUUCUUUCACAGAGCUCUAAAUUUUCAAUAUGUUUCUCUCUUUCUCUUUUUCUGUCUCUCACCCUAUGUGGCCAAGCCGAAAGCCCUCCAAGUUACCAAGUAGCAGCAUAUGUCUACCGUUACCUAUCUUGCUAUUAAUUGUAUACUUGAGAAAAUAUACAGAAUAUUUUUAAAAUAAAAAAUUAUUAUUCAUAUGAAAUUUUAAUUUUAGUUAUAUAUGAUUGGAUAGUUUAAUCCAAUAUUUAUCUAUAUAAUUUAUUUAUUUUUUACUGCAUAAAUGAAAAUGAAUAAUAUGGAGAUUGAAGGCGGAAGAAAAGACAUGUGAGGCUGAAAAGAUUAGAUAUUCAACUCAUAAAUUUUUUUUUUCAUAUUAUAAUACUAUAUUUUAUAUAAUUAUUUUAUACUUUGAACUAUUAGACAUAUUUUUGUAUCAAAUUAUAGAUAAUGUUCUAUACAAAUUAAAUUAUUGAUCGUAUGAUGUUGAGAAUUUCAAGCGGCUCGUUUAGUGCUCGAGCUCGCUCGACUCGAAAUUAGGCUCGCUUGAGCUCGGCUCGAAUUAAUUUCAAUCCAAGCUUGAGCUUAAAUUUAGGCUCGAAAUUAAUUUCAAGCCGAAUUUGAGCCGAGGUAAGCUCGCUCGAGCUCGGCUCGUUUCCACCCCUAGACCCCAUGGGCCAUGUUUAGGCCGGGCUUUGGGCAUUAAAAACUAAACUUUGGGUUCAGGUCGGGCUUCAAAAUUUAGGCCCAAAAAAAUUUUGGGCUUAUUUGGGCAUGUCCAAGCCUGGCCCGAGCCCGACCCAAAAGCCCGAUAUAUUAAUUAUUAAAAUAAAAUAUUUAAUUCAAUAUAUAUAUAUAUAUAAUAUUUUUUUAUAAAAAGAAUAAAUUAUAUAGUAUAUCAUAUAUAGUAUAUAUUGUUAUUAAUGAUAUAUACUUAUAUAUAUAUAUGAGGGUAUAUUAUAUAUUAAUAAAAUAUUUAGUUCCAUAUUAGGAUAUAUUAAACAGUAUUAGUAUAUAUAAUUAAUUAAUUAUACGUAUCUAUGAGUAAAUAUAUGGUACAUAUUAUUAUACAAAUAAAAGUAUUUAUGUAUUAUAUGAUAAAUGUAUAAAAUGGGCCUUCACAAAGCCCGAUGGGUAUUGGGCAUUGGGCAUGGGCUUGGGCCGGGCCUUAAUUUUCAAAAAAAAAUGGGUAAAAGCCCGACCCGAAGCCCAACAUUUUCUUUUGGGCCGAACUUGGGCAUAGUAUUACCUGACCCAAGCCCGGCCCACUUCCACCCCUAGCCGAGACGUGUACUGAUAGGUCUCGACAUACCGGAGACCGUGCUCACGAUCCGGAGCCCAACGGCUCACUGUGGGAGGCGCGGGAGCGACCUGAAAGUUCUACGAACAGCGCGCACUCGGGGAAAACCACGCAGAAAACGCAAUUCCGGAAGCCGCUGAUCCAAAGUGAGGUGAGCACUGUGAUUAGCACUGACCAACGGUCAUUGUGCUCACCUCCGGAGGCAUCGGGACAGCCUCGGAUAGCCGGAAAAGAGUGCGCAAACCAGAAACAGCAACCAAAAAGGCCCUAAAGGGGCGACACCGCCGAAACAACGGAACGAAACCUUUCCGAUAGAAACUGAGGUGAGCACGAUGAUUAGCAAUGAGUCACGAUCAUCGUGCUCCCUUCCACAGAGAUCGGGAGGCCUCGGGUUGCUCGGAACAGCAAACCACUCAAGAAAAGCCCUAUUUCGGGCUUGGCCGGAGCAAGCUUGCUCCAGCCAACUUCUGACGGCACGGCGACGUGCGCGCGGGCCAGAGGUGGGUGCGGGGGAGGGAAGGAGCACAAUGCUCACCUUGGCUGGCGGCGAGGAGCGGCGGCGGCGUCGGCGGAGCGAGCCAAGCCCAAACAUUGUUUGUUUCUUUAUCCUGAGUUUUUUUUUCUUUAUCUACUUGCUUUUUGAUAACCUAUCGAGAUGAACCACAUACAUGACACACUUCUUUAUUUGCUUUCUCAUCCAAAAAUAGCAUACAAUCAUUUGGACAAUAAUGAAUCUUUUCAUAGCUAAGUCAUAAAGCCUUGAUGACCUUUUUUUGCCUCAUAUGUGGAUCGUGGCAAUGAAGUUCCUUCUGAAAAUACAUCAAUCAAUAGCUCAAGCAACAUGCUAAAUGAUUCUCCUAUCCAUCCAUUUAAAUAUUAUAAGUGGAAUAAAUGAAUUAUGAAUGAUAAUUUUAAAAAUUUCUUGCAACCAGGAUAAAGCUCUUCAUUUGCAUCUUUUAAAACUUUAAAAACUCGUUUGUUUCCCUAAGAGCUUCCUCUAUGAUGUUCUGCAUCAUUCCUUUCUGUAUGCUGCUGUGCAUCAACCUCUUCACUAGCUUGCUCUAUAGUAACAAAUCUACUAGAUUGUUGUCCAUUUGUUUCAUUUGCAACUAAGUUUAUCUCAUUAGUUCCCUCACUAAAUAUACCCAUAGCAGCAUGCAAAAGACCAUCCAUGUCAUCUAAUCUACUUGUGUUUGCUUGUAAAUAAGAGGUCUGAUUUGAGGUGGAAGAUGUAGUAGGGUUUGUAGAGGAUAAUGAUGUUAUAGGAUCUUCUCCGUGACAAAUCCAACGAGUAUAUCCUCUCAAAAAUCCAUCGCAUAUCAAGCAUACUUUAGCAUCAUCAUAUGUUUGGAAAGAGCAAUUAACGCAACGAAUACAAGGACACAUAAUUUUGCCACCAUGUGAUGCAUUUUGAAAUGCAAAAUCAAGAAAUUGGUUGACUCCUUUGAAAGGGACUAUAUCCUAUGAAUUUGUUUUUCUCCUAGGAGAAGCAGCUGUUCUUGGAAGUCAACUAAACAAUCUUUGAUUGUUAUAUAGAAGCACUAUGGAAUCUGAAUUCAAAGCUUUGGAUACUACUGUAGCAGAAGUUAAGCGGAUUAGAGAGUUUCUUUAUGAGUUGCCAUUAAUGGAGUGACCUUUAGCAUCUGUAUGUAUUCAUUGUGAUUGUAGAUCUGCAAUAGAUAAGUGUGCCCAAGAGAAUGUGGAGACUAAGAUGAAUAGAUUCAUGAAAGUGAGACAUAAGUUCAUUCAGCAGAAUCUGAAGAAAAAUGUGAUUGCAUUAGAAUUUGUGAGAUCUGUGAAGAAUUUGGCUGAUCAGCUUAUGAAGGGUUUAUCUAGGACAGUGAUCCUAAAAUCGUCGAGGGCAUGGGGCUCAGCCCACAAUAGAAGUUAUUGGUGGCGGCAACCCAAUCUGUUGCAGGUUCAAUGGGUAGAAACAAGUCAAACAGGUAGUUAUGAGGAGCACUGUUUUUAUUUCCUCAUCCAAUGGCGACAGUGCUCAUAUCUGCAAGUGGAUAGGAAGGGCAUUGGCCCUGAAUGGUUCCGAGACCUAUAAAGCAGGGUGUGACCUUUCAGAUACCCUUUGAGGACCUACUAUAUGUGUAGAGUAGUGAGGCUGCAACUAUGUGAAGAGGGCGGUUCAUAAAACACAUAUGAAGCGAUACUAGCGGAUUAUCAUAAAAGUGCUCACCCGCUUAGAACCUUUACGGCUAUACCAUGUAUGCAGUUUGUGGAAAUCCGAUUCACUGGUCAUGGUUCAAGGCGUAGUCCACCAUUGUGCCCUUGGAUGUAUAUUGACAAGCACUAAGUGAAGGUUCAAACUCGAAAGUUACCUUUGCCCAAUACGUGGUAUAAGAUAUCCAGUAUUCUUUUGAGUUGCUUUGAAUUUCACUUUUGUUUACUUUCUUUAUUUGAAGUUUUAAAUCAUGUAGAGGAAUGUUAGAUUUUAUUUGGGUCUUUUAGUGAUUUAAAACUUAUUAGGCCUCUUGGGCGGCCCAAUACUUGAUGCGCCUUGCCUAGGAGCCCAUACUAAGGUUUUUACAAAUGAGAAUUAGUUCCAUAUUGGAAACUAAAAGUAUGUUAUUGUUGUUAGUUGCUUAAGAGAAAAUGAGAGUUAUGCUCUUGACUAAACACACGCAUGCACGGCACGAGCACAAGCCGGGCCAGGCCGAGCGAGGGGCGGCGCCGGGCAGUCCAGGCACUCGAUUUAUUUUUUUAUUAUUUUUUUAUUUUAUCUUUAUCUUUUGAGAGUCCUAACCCGUAUACCGUAUAUUACAGACUCGUAGGCUUAUCUUGCGCUACGCGGAAUUGACCUGUUGAAGCAUGAUCUUUGCCUUGGAUAUAUAUAUUGGAGGAGGUUGCAAGAAUUCAACCUCAACCUUUGCUUAUCUGAGAGUAAAACCCUAAUCUCUACCUCUAUUUCUUUUUUUUCUCGCCAUUGAUUUUUCACGCUUAUUUUUACCCGCUUUCUAAUAUUUCGUUGGAUCUAAAGCUUGUUGCGUUCAUUUUGGGCCACCUUGAAGCAUGCCGAUGGGGUUGGAACGUGGAAGUUGUAUCGCUGGAAGGGCUUGCUGGGAAGCCUCGUACGUGGAAGGACAAUCUUGCUUCUAGGAUAGUGCUCAGCAUGCCUCGAUCCACAGGUCUUUUCUAAUACUUUUCUCUACAGUAUUUACUAUUUAAUGUUUUUUAGAUUUUUUCUAAAACUGAAAUUAAGCUUUUGAAUUGCUUUUAAAGAAAAUUUUACUUAGAGAUCAAAAAGAUUUUCCAACAAUCCUAUAGUCUGGCAGUAGGGAGCAACAACUAUGAGAUUAAGGCCUAUAUCUGGCCUUGGAGAAUAUUGGACAUUGUUAGAUGUUCGAAGAGAAAUUAGCACCGAGGGAGGAGAUGUUUAACUCGGAGGCUCGAGCUAAGAGCGACUCAAAAGUGAUAGCUUGGUUCUUGAAUCCACUCGAAGGAGAGAGAGAAGGAAAAAGGUCGUCUAGGCUUUAUUUCAGCCGGACUGUUGGGAGAGAAGGGAACUACGGGGAAUGGAUGACAUGAGAAAGGUGUAGCCUGGGGUAUGGGGUGUGCAUUUGAUUGGAAAGGGAGAGAGAAGUGCAACCCUAGGCUAACUCUCUUUCUCUUAUAUUUAUACAAGGUGAAAAAUUACACAUAACUCCUUUAUCGCUCAUCUCUUUCUUUUAAGCCUCCACAGGCAGUCAAUUUCACAUAGAGGUUCCACCACCUGAGAAACUUUAUGAUUUCUCACUGAAAAUGUUGUCAUUUCACAUUGCUCGAUAAUUUCAUCUUUAUUCACAUUACCACAAAAUCGCACCGGGACCUCCGAUUUUCAUAAAACUUUGUUUCACACCUUCCUCUCUAAGUGAACUUGCAGAUAGACCUCUCCGCUUCUGAAAAUUCUUUGAAAAAUCUGCAAAAAAUGUUGUGCUGAUCACAACGUGCUAAUCCGAGUUUGGUUUUCUGCUCUCCCAGGACACUAUUAAUGGUCCCAAACUCACACAUUUAACACAUGAACCCUCAUAAAGCCGAAAUUGCAAUUAUGCUAAGGGUGUGUUUGGUUCCACGUAAAACUGGGAAAAAAAAAUUUCCGUGGAAAAAAGUUUUUCAUGGAAAAUUUAUUUUACGGCUUUUAGUGUUUGGUUUGUAGGAAAAGAAAAUUAGUUUACAGUUACAGUUGUUUGGUUAAAUGGUCGAAAGAAAAAAGUAUAAAUUUUUUUUAUUAUGUUUUUGAUAUAUUAUUUAUUUAUUAUUUAUGAAUUAAAUAUAUGAUAAAUUUAUAAGUAUUUAAUAUAAUAUAUGUAAUAGUCUGCAUAUAAUAUUAUAUAAAAAUAUAUAAUUUUUAUAAAUAAAAAUAUAAAAUUAGUUUUCUUUAUGAUGUUUGGUUGAAAAAAAAAAAAUAUAAAAAAAAUUAUUAUAUAUAUAUUAUUUUAUUGUAUAUAUUAUUAUAUUAUCUAUAUAUAAUAAUAGUGAUAUAUAAUAAUUAUCAUAUUAUAAUAUUCAGUAUUAUAAUAUAAUUUAUAAAAAAAUACUAAAAUAUAUAUACAUUAAUUAAUAUGCAAUAUAUAUUAAUAGUAUAUAUUUAAUAUUAUAAAUAAAUUAUUAUGUAUUUAUAAAUAAAUAUAUAUAUAAUAAAUAAAAUUACACAAUAAUAUUUAAAUAAAAAUUAUAUAUAUAUAUAUAUAUAUAUAAUAUAUAUAUAGUAUUAUAUAUAUAUAUUAUAUGUAAUAUAUAUAUAUAUGUAUAUAUAUAUAUUAUGUAUAUAUAUUAUAUAUAUUAUAUAUGAUAGUAUAUAUAUAUAUAUAUAUAUAUAAUUAUAUAUAUAUUAUAUUAUAAUACAUAUAUAUAUCAUAUAUGUAUAUAUAUAUAAUAGUAUAUAUAUAUAUAUAUAUAUAUAUAUAUAUAUAUAAUUAUGCAUAUAACUAUACUAUAAAUAGUAUCAACCCUUGAUAAUUGAGUUUUCGGCCGUUGGAUGAAAGGAUGUGCGGUUAGGAUAAUAGUGGUCCCUGGUUAAAUUGAUAGUGUCCCCUAGGGUUGAGUGGGUGGUUGGUUUAAAUAGUAUAAUCUAACGGGUGGAAAUAUAUCAAGGGUGAAUCUAACCGGUAGAAAACUCAAUUAGUCCAAGAUUUGGAGCUAUCGAUAGAAGUAGGUACCAGACCUAUAUAUAUAUAUAUAUAUAUAUAUAUAGAGCAUGACUGCUGUGCUCUCAGGAGCACGGAGGUCUCCGUGCUCCUGAGCCGUUUUUUAUGAUGAAAUUUUCGAAUCAACGAUCGGCUCUGCUAGACCUGAUCUAGCGUAUUUGAAGUUUGUAGAAAGUAAUUUUUAUGAUUUUUCGAUAUCAUUUACCUAGCAAUCAAAAGGAUUCAAAAUCAAUAAUUUUUAACGGCUGAAAAUAAAAAUUCUAUAAAAAGUGGUGAUAUAGCACUAAAAUUUUUGAUCAGAAAUAUUGAUCUUGUUGUAGAUAGUAUAAAGAAUUUUGUAUCAAAAUUUCAUCUAAUUUGAAUACUUCUACACCGUUAAACUUGAAAACGGUAGAUAUCAACCAUUAAAAAUUAUUGAUUUUGAAUCCUUCCGAUCACUAGGUAAAUGAUAUCGAAAAAUUGCAAAAAUUAUUUUCUAGAAACUUCAAAUACGCUAGAUCAAGUCUAACGGAGCCGAUCGUCGAUUCGAAAAUUCCAUCAUCGAAAAUGGCUCAGCAGCACGGAGGCCUUCAUGUAUGUAUAUAUAAGAGGGGGAGAGAGUCCACGGUCCACGAGGUGACCCUGUGGACUCUCUCUCUCUCACGCGGUCCACGAGGUGAGGAUAGUCUCGUGGACCGUGCAUACUCAAAAGUCCUAAGCCGCGAUAUUGGGUGCUUGAACUUUUCAUUUUCCGCGGAAGGCGAGUGGAAAACGAAAAAGCAAACUUUUCAGAAAAUCUGUAAAAAAGUUUUUCCAAAUUUUUUUUUUUACAGGUAACCAAACAUUGGAAAAAAAGUUUUCAGCAGAAAAUUUUUUUUCAGAGCACUUUUACAGGGAACCAAACAUCCCCUAAGUAAAAGUAAAAUUUUGUUGCAUUAUAUAUAGUCUUAUUUUACAAGAUGAUCUCCUGCGUUAGUAAUUUUUUUAUAUAAAAGAAUUUCGGAUUCUACACUUGUUUCCGUAUGUAAUAUCACAUUCUACAUAUCGAAAUGAGUCGGUUAUAAUAUAUUUUUCGUGAUCUCACUGAACAAUGGAUAAACAUAUCCCCAUAUAUUUUUUCCCCAAAUUUGAUUUGUCAACUAACAUUAAUGUGAUUCAACACCAAAUAGGCUUUGAAGUCAUAAAGGUUGUGGUAGCUUGCGGAUGAGGGUGAAGCUCUUAAAUGAGGAUGAGCGAAGUCACUAUUAACUUUAACUACUUGAGGAUGCUCCUUAGCCUUUUUCGAUAGGUAUAGGUAUGAAAUAAUGUCUAAUCAAGUGAUGCCAUGUGAUGUGGUAGAGGAAAGGGGUAAGGAUUUAAAGAGAUUAUGUUAAAACGUAAUAUUAAGAAAGACUCGACUUUUAUAAAUUAAAGAGGAGAGAGAGUAAUAAAGAAGAUAAUAAUAAGUUUAGGGGCAUUCACCUCAUAUAUAUUAAAAUAAACUAUUGGAUUCAUAGCUAGUGUUGGAAGUGAGUUGGGCUUGGGUCAGGUGAAACUAUGUCAUAGCCCGGCCUAAAAUAAAAUUGGGUUUUAGUCGGACUUUUGCUUAAUUUUUUGAAACGAUUAAGGUCCGGCCCAAACUACUAGAAAGGUCUAACUAAUUAAAUCUUUAGGGUAAAACUAUGUAUGUAUAAUAUAUUACUAGUUAAGGGACCCGCGCGAUACUACGGGUAGUUAUUUAAAAAUUUAAUUUUGAAAAUUAGUUAUAAAAAUCAAUUUCAGAAUUUAAAUAGUGUAAUAAGUACAUCAAAAAAUUUUAGUUUAUAGUAGUCCCCCAUUAGUUAGUGAAAUAAUUUUAGUAGGUAUCGUAGUCCCCCAGUAGUUAGUGAAUGAGAAGAGAAAUCAUGCUGCGGAUAGUUAUUUUAAAAUUUAAUUUUGAAAAUUAGUUAUAAAAUAAAUGUAGUUAUCUUUCCUAAUGUAAUAAGAAAUAAUUUUUAGUAGGCAUCUAAUCUCCCAGUAGUUGGUGAAAUAAUUUUUAGUAGGUAUCGUAGUGCAAUAAGUAUAUCUAAUACCAAUAGUCUAAAUUAUUUAACAUUUAUUUAUAUAUUUUAUAUUUUAUAAAUAUAAAUAGUAAAUUAUAUAAUAAAUUAUUAUAUAAUAAUAUAUCUAUAUAACAAUAAAAUACUAUAUAUAAUAAAUAAAUAUAUAUUUAUAAAUAAAUUAUAUAUAUAUUAUAUAAAUAAAAUUAAUAUAUAUAAUAUAUAUAUAUAUUAUAUAUAAUAUAUAUAUAUAUAUAGUAUAUAAUAUAUAUACGUAUAUAUAUAUAUAUAUAUAAGAGAGAGAGAGAAAGAGAGAGAGAAUGAGAGGGAGGUCCACGCGGGACCUCCUUCAAUGUGUCCACGAGGGCCACUGAAAACCCGGCCGUUGCAACCCAACCCACCCAGAGCCGCGAUUUUUUUGAGGCUCCCGGCGCAACCGCGCCCGCGCCUCGUGGCAAAGUCGCGCUGCGCUGCACCCCGCCCACGGCCGCCCUUUGGGCGCCCCGCCGGCUGCACGAUCGCCCCCGGCGGCGCAGCGUGUCGAUCGUUGGCGGCUAACACAUUAAUCCCAAGCUUGAGGCUGUUUAGAAAAGACGCAGCACCAUCACUAAAGCAUACAGAAACAUUGCGCCCUACGGGUCUUCGAUUGUGACUCGCCCACAAUGGCCUCAUCCAGCUUCGAACAUGCUCGGCCCAACGCUAGCCUCAGUCAUUUCGAACGAUCUGACUCUCCGGCCCACAUGGCCGUCGCCCACAGGCAGGAUGGCUGGCGCCAUUUAAUCCAACAAUAUCUCCCUCAGCAGCCUGCACAACAUUUGCAGCAUGCAGGAAUCGAACCCGUGACCUCAUGGCUCUGAUAUGCACUUGUCGAUGUGGUGGCCGCUAACCAUUAAUACGCAAUAGCUCGAGCUGUUAGAAAUACGUAACCUAAUUCACUUAAAUAGCGUACGGAAACCAGCGCCCCAAGGUCUCGCAUUGUGACUCGGCCCACCUGGCCUCACGCCACUUUGAACAGACUCGGCCCAACCUAUGGCCUCACGCCAUUUCCGAACAUGACUCGGCCCAAUAUGGCCUCGAUCAUGCCGCCAUAGGGCAGGAUGCUGGCCCAUUUAAGUCAACACCAGCGUGGCGCGAGCCCACCCACCGGGCGCCACGCCGUCGCCCGCGCCUGGCCCCCGCCGACCAGCCCCGCGCCUCGCGCCCUGAGCCUCACCGCGCCCGCGCCAGCGCACCCCACCCGCGCGUGCUCCCGCGCGUCUCAGCUUCCUCGUGACAGCUGUGCAGUUAUUGAGGAAUAACAUAUAGUUAUAAUUAUAGAUUUAAGAUUAAGAUUAUAGAUAUCCUCAAUUUCUUAUAUAGGUAAUAUAAUCUAAUUAAAUAUCAUAUAAGCUGCUGACGUUAACUAACAAUCUGGCUUUCGCUUAGGCCCCAAGUUAUAAAUUUGAUGCCAAUAGUCGGCCCAUACACGGCCCAUUGGGUCGGGCUUAAAGAUAAUUAUCGUUCUGCGCUUCUUGACUAAAUAAAUGGGAAUUAUGUAUUUGGAAGUGGAGGAUUUAUGGGGUGCAGGAACUAGAAGCAAAAUAUAUAAAAUAAAAAGGGGCAAUUACAUUUACACCCAUGAAAAGUUUCAAAAUUUCUUAGUUACCCUGCUUAGAAUGCUAAUAUAAAGAUAUAUACCUUUUCAAUAUUCCAAGUUCUUUCAAAUAUAUCUCUAAAGUUAGAUUUUGUUAGUGAACUGUGUUAGAAACAGUUAUUAUCACUACAAUAGAAUUAGGUUAUAGGGACACAUGUUUGGGACACUUUUGAGUAAGUGUCCCAUUUAUGCUAAAACUUGAAAAAACAUCUACUAAUACCUAAAUAUAAAUCCCAAUCCAAAUAAAAAUAAAAGAUUACUCUACUCAACCCACCACACCCAGUCCAUUUGGCCCGAUUACAAACAGAAAAGAAAAAAAAAAAAGAAAAAUCAAUUACCAUAUUUUCUUCUCUCUUCGCUCAAUCCACUGAAAUUCUAAACGAAAAGCCAUUCCUGUCGUCCUCCUCCGCCACCGCAGCCAACGAGAUAGAGUUUCGACAGUUGCUAAAUGCUUAAAUAAGUUGUUGGUAAAUUAGCAGCACUCUUUUAGUUUAUAGCGACACUCUUUAACUGUCACUAUAUACCUAGCGACCCACAUAUAGCAACACUUUUUAAAAGUAUCGGUAAUUUUAGCUAGCAGCACUUUUUUGACAUGUACCUACAUUUAAAAGUGUCGCUAUAGACCGUUUUUGUUGUAGUGUAUCUCUGUAAAAUUACUAUUUUAUCUUUUCAAGUACAUCAUUCUACUAUCACAAAUUUUUCUUAUUUGCUCUUAAAUUAGAGGCAAAAGAAAUAUUUUGACUUUUUUUUUAACUGGAAUAAAAAUUUAAUCCGGAUUUAAUUCGAGAUGGCGUAACGGGUACUAACAAUAGGGUUAUUCAAAAAAUAAUGGAGAAAUAUACGAGAAGUAUAUUUGAAACAAAAAAAAAGGUUAGGACUAUAUAAUAUAUUUCAGAAGUUUUGAGAAUAUAAUAUGUAAUUAUCUCUAAAAUAAAUUAAAGAUACAAGUUUUAAAACAUGCAAAUGUAAAAAAUAAUUGGCUUGACCUGCAUCUCCUUUUCUAUCAUAAAAGUACGAUAUUAAAAUGCUACCGACUUCUCUCCAGUGUAGGGUUAAAAAGCAGUAGAGUCAUGGUAAGUUGUGCUUCUGAGACUCAAAAUCUAGUUUUCAUUCCAUGCUACAAUCAAAAGUAAUUGAGCUAGAUAUACUUAGGAAGUAUCAUCCUUUGGUUCUAUUAGCGUUUUAGCUUUGAAUCUACUCCUUGAUUACUAAUACUUUUUAAUCAAAUAUUAUCCACUACCAUCACCAUCUACCACUAUCAUCUCAACCUACAUCUCUCGUCCAAUGAUCAACUAAAAACUCAAAAGCACCACCUUUAUGGUGCUUUUGAGAAGUAUUCUUGCUCAACUACAUUACAAGUUAUCUUUUUUAAAAAAAACUUUUUGGCUUCUUAAACACUAUAAAAAUUAGGUAUAUGCUACUAAAUGUGAAAAAAAGGCAGGUGGGACCGAAAAAACCCUUAGUAUGCAUGAUGUCCUUGAAGUGUAGAAUUUUUUUAUUUUUUAUUUUUUGUUACUAUUUGGGGCCACUUUGCAAGAGUCUACUAAUUAAUUAGCUAAGUUCAAUUUUGCUGAAACGACACUAAUGUCCUUUCCUAAGUAACUUGGGUAGACACGAUAAACCCUAACACGUGGGCGGUUUAAUCAAUUGAAAUGGACAUGAGCGACUAAAAAUUUAUACAGCAUCUCUCAAAACCUCAUUAAUUACUUCAUAAUAUAUAUAUAUUUCAAUGUGUGGAUCUAAAUCAUAGGUUAAUUAGUUCGGCCCCAUUCUAAAUCUAGCUUGCGCACGUAGAGUGGACGCCUAACCUAUAUCCCAUGCAUAUAAUUAAAGCCCCCACUAAAAUCAUUUUAUAGCGUUUAUGAGGUUCCAUUAUAUCAUCAUGGAGCUUUAAUAUUAUGUAAGGUAAUCCUUUGGACUGCAGUGUGGACUCGUGUUGAUUAAGCCAUGACGAACGUACUGAAACCGAUGGAAACAAAUUCAUGAGACCCGAAGUUUAAAUUAAGCCUCAUUUGGUAUUCUAUAAUCUUGUUUUCUGUUUUUUUUUCUUUUUUCUCAAAAAUAAAGUGUGUAUAUAUAUAUAUAUAUAUAUAUAAUAUAUAUAUAUAUAUAUAUUAUUACAAUGAAUUGUUCAGGAGAUAUAUAUAGCACAAUAAAAAAAAAAAACAACGUGUAGACAUUUUUUGCAAACUUAAUUGCAGUCGUGCUAUGACGCUAAUUCUUGCAUUUUCUUUAGUUUAGGAAGAGUGAUUACCCAUUCGGGAGUGAUUGUAUCAGUGUAUUCUGCUAUUUAUAAUUAUGAUAUUUUCUUUCUAAAUAAGGAAUUAUUGCGUAUGUUCCUUCCCUAAACCCUUAAUUAUUUACUAUUUGCAUUUUUUUCAUUUGAAAAUGAUUAUUUGUAAGGAAAAAGGCCGUUUCUAUUGCUACUUUUUUCUUUUUUUUUUUUUCCUUUUCAAAAUUGCUACUUUUCCUUUCCUUUUCUUUUUUUUUUUUUUUUUUUUGGUCAAAUGCAGUUGGCACAAAAAACAGAAUAUUUGAGAAGCUUUCUUCCUUUUUUUUCUUCCUUUUGUUUCUUUGGAAAAGAUGUCUUUAGUAUUUGGACCAGACUGUAUUAUAACAAGUAAACAAUGACGAAGCAAAAUUUACAGCAACACAUCCAACAAAUUAUUUUUUUAUGGAAAUUAAAAAGGCAACAGUGCGCACUAAAUUAAACCCUUAGUAACUCAUUUUCAUGGAUUUUGUUUCUUUAAAGAACCAUUCACUGUCUAUUAAGUGAAUAACCAACAACAGACAAAAUAAAAAUGUCCGUCCACUGUUACAUCCAAUCGCAUAGAUUUUGUUUAGAAAAACACACACACACCACAGCACACCACACACCACACAACAAAAGAAGAAUGAUUAGGCUAAGCUGUUUAUGUGUUCUGAUUUGAUAGCAUUUUUUACUAUGGUUUGGUUACAAUGAUAACAAAGUUUCAAUUAGGUCCCUACCAGUAAACUGAUAACAAAGUUUCAAUUAGGUCGCUAAUUAAGUUCCUUGUGUGGAGGACUCUUAUAAGUAACUUCUAAAUUAAGGACAGUUUACUUGUGAUCUGAUUCAUGAAUCUAUCACAAUAUCAAUAAUGCGCUGGAAUAUUUUGUUUCUCCAAUUUGACAAUAAUCCUUUACCUGUUUUGACCGGUUGCCAAAAAGAGAUGGUUCAACACGACAAGGCUGCUGAUACGGGGAUAAAGAGAACCAAAAUGAGUAGUUACCCAUUCACACUAUUCAUAGGAAGAUGAAAGGUCAUGAGCUUUUCAAAUUAAUAUAUAGAGCAAAUAAUCCCGUGCAAGGUUAAUUUAUUGUGUUGAAUUUAAUUAACUUGCAUAUAUAGUCUCAAACAAGGGUAUGUAUAAUUGCCGAGAAAAGCUGUGAAAUCAUUGCAUGCACCUGGUACGUCAUACUAAACUACUAUUUUCUCGACUAAGAUAUAACUUGUACAGUCCCAUUGAAGAAAGGAGAUCGAACUCUAUCUCUAGCUAUUAAUCAGAAAAAGAAUAUAUAAGGUACUAAUUAAAUUCAAGUCUGCAUAUAUAUAUAUAUAUAUAUAUAUAUUAUUAAUUCUUGAGGUUCGAUGUGCGGGAACUUAAGUUAUUAGAGAAAUAUGAUUAUUAAUUUCUUUACCACCAUCCGCCGUCAAAUAUAUAACGCACUCCGAGUUCUAAAUGGAGAUCGAAAAGUUGUCUCCCAAACAUGCAUGUUGGAGAUUAUUUUGAAGUUUAUGGCGCCAUGCAUGAUGAACGGUUGAGAAGGUGCAGUGCAUGGCAAAUACAGAUGCACCUGGUGCAGGCAAUAACUUCUAAGAAGGAGAAUAAGCCUUACAUCACCUUUUCGUUAGGAAGAGCUCUCGACAAAGUUAAAUUAGUGAGUGCUAGUUGGCCAAAAUUAAGGCGCCACAAGAAGCCUCGGAAAACCACGGGUCUAAUCCAUAGUAUUAUAAAUAAUUCGUAGCCAUCAGCAGCUGAUGACAACCAUAUGCCUGACUUAAACGGUGUAGUGAUGCCACACCAAACACAUACAUAUAUACAUAUGUUACCACAUGCAACUAAGUUGAAACCCUAGGCCAUGUCUCUCAAGUCCAAAGCAAGGGCCCCAGUGUACGUAUAAUUUAUAUAUAGAAGGGCUACUUAAUUGGGAACUAACACAAUGGGAGGAUGGAGAUCAGACCAGUGUGCAUGCAUGCCAUUAACCCGACGUUGUAGCAAAGUCUAGAGGGACUUCUCCCUAACAAGCAAUUCUUACGACACUACUCUUCCUCCAUUGGAAUUUGGGAGACUAGCUGUAGUAUGGAAGGAGCCUAGGGUGGGAGAGAACUCAUGACUAUUGCUGCCGCCUGGUGGGUUGUGUGGCUUGAGAGUAACAGAAGGAUUUUUGUUCAUUCAAAACUCUCGCUGGGGCUUUUGUCUUCGGAGGUUAGAAACCUUAAGCGCCAAUGGACGAAUUGUUGUUCUAGUGUUCAGCGUUAAGCGGGUUUUCUUCUUCUUCUUCUUCUUCUUCUUUCCUCUUCUUCUUCUUCUUUCUUUCUUCUUUUUUUUUUUUUUUUUUUUUUUUUUUUUUUUUUUUUGCGUUCGUUCUGAAGCCCGGUUGCUUCACAUUAUAGACAAGUUCAUUUGUGUAAUGAAUGAAGCGGUAGCAUGCUACCUUCUCUCAAAGAAAAAAAAACUUUUACAUACCCCUCUGGUGGGGUUUAUCGCUAGUUUUAUUAGUUUAGUAUCAUGUGGUUUUAACUGUAUUACUCAAGUAUUUGGUGAGUUUUUGUUUUUCCUUUUGGUUAGCACCUCUGUUAUCUCCUCAGUUAAAAUCGUCAUGUGCCGUGCACAUGCGUUAGAGAUAUCCCAUAUCCCACAGAGAUUGAUAAUAAAAGCAUCAGAAAUAAAAAAAAAUUAAAAGGCAUGACACCCCUUAUUAGGGUUAAUCUUGAUUAUUUUUGGAGAGCUCCCGACGGUGAAGAUCGGUAACGAUCUACAACAUAUGCGGGCGGCACCCACGAUUUUAAUAGAAAGGAUGAUAGAAGUGCUAAUUAAUAUAAAAUGAAAACAGAAAUCACAAGAUACUGAAGUGAUGUAGUUAAAAUCACAGUGUAUUAAAAUAAAAAACGAUGAACCACAUUGGGGAUAUCUAAAAUUUUUCAAAAAGAAAAAGAAAAGAAAAAUACACUAAGAAAUAUUUAUGAUAGGUAGAAAUUAAUGUUAGAAUAGAUUGUUAUAUAGCCAAGAAUGGAAGACAAACUUAAUUUCUCCAGUUCUGAAAAGAAUAUGUUGUAAGCCUACGAGCUCGUAAGGGAUCGUUCAUUUUACUAAUCUUUCAUAUUUUGUGGUGAUCGAUGUUUAUUUAUAUUUAGAGUGAUUAGUUAAUUAGCGACUAACCAUAUCACUUGGUUUGUGACAUUGUUGGGGACUAAUUAACUAGUAUUCUUUCUAAUAGAUUACUUAAUUGCGCCUCACAUCAAAUCUAGAAAUUAAUAACAAAACCUCCUAAGUCCUAACCAAUAUUGUUUUAGAGAAAUAGGUAGCAAGCUACCUGCUUCAUUCAUUAAGUAAAAUGAAUUUAGCGUACAAUUUGGAAGCAGUUAGGGCCUCCGAACCGAGGGAACAAGAGGAGAAAGACAAGAAAAAAAAAACAAGAGAACAAAAACCAGGUCCAUGAGAUCCAGUAAACACGAGCAAACCAAAAAUAAACAAAGGGGUGACCGAGGGCAGAGCACCAAGGUCGGGAGAUAAUCAAAGUGCUUCGUUCCAGGCUUCGAUCAAAACGGCGACACGUUCGAGAGCCCUGGAAACAUUAAGGGACACGUCGCGGAAGCACGCGCCAUUAUGCUCCGUCUAGACAACCCACCAAAUUGCCGCCAAAUUGGUUAACAAUUUUGAUCUUGUAACGGCCUCGGGAAUGUCUGAGAUCUGUGUCCACAGGUGGCGUACAUCCCCCACAUCCGAAAUAUCCUCCACUAAGGCUCUAGCUUUAAAACGAAGAAAUCUGACGACGAUACAGUCGUGGAAUAGGUGGUCAACGGUUUCGGCUAGUAACAUACAGAACCUACAGUGCUGAUCCACAAUGCGCCCUCGGCGAAUCCUAACCAAUAUUGUUAUUGCAAUAUGCCUACUAGCUGAGAAUUUUUUAUGAUUUUACAAUUUCAUCAAUCUUCCCAAUUUAAAUCACUUGCUAACAAUUUGGAUAUUUUGAAUAGAAAGUGUGAAACGUUUGUGCGCGGAAUAUUACAAGUUGUAAAAUAAACUGCCAUAAUUAAGGUUAGUCUUGUGUCCAUCAAAGGAAACAUUUAUAAAGAAGAUGAAAUCCAUAACACUAUUUUUUGGUUGGGGACAAGGGUGGGGAUAAGGGGUGGGGAUAAGGGGUUAUCCCCGUCUUGUUCCCCAAACACUAUUUUUAAGGGUGGGAACUAACUAUUCCCAUAACCCGUUAAGGGUGGGAAUAGCUAGUUCCCACCCUUAGGUGGAAUAGGGGUGGGAACAAGUUGUUCUCACCCCUAUUUUUUAAAAAAAAUUAAAAAUUAAAAAUUUUAAUUUUAAUUUUAGUUUUAAAAAUUUAUAAUUGGUAAUUUCAAAAUUCAAGUUUAUAGUUUUAAAUUUUAAAUUUUAAAUUUUAAUAUUAAAUUUUAUAUUUUUUAAUAUAAAUUUGAUAUUUAUAUUUUAAAAUUUAAAUUUGAUCUUAAAUUUUAAAUUUUAAAAUUAAAAAUUUUAAUUUUUGAAUUUAAAAAAAAGUAUUUUUAGGAUCACCCUGCUUGUUCCACCCAUGAAGAGAGAGAGAGAGAGAGAGAGAGAAUUUUUAAUUUAUUAUAAAAUUUAAAUUAUAAAUUCAAAAAUUAAAAUUUAUAAUUUUAAAAUUACAAAAUUAAAAAUUUAAAUUUUAAAUUGUUUAAUUUAAAAUUUAAAAUUUUGAUAUUUAAAUUUUUUUUAUAUUUAGAAUUUGAUAUGUUAUUUUUUAAAUUAAAAUUUCAUCUUAAAUUUAAUGUUCAAACUUUAAAAAAUUAAUUUUUUAAAAUUAUAAAUUUGAGAUUUUAAAAUUUAAAAUUUUAAUUUUAAUUUUUAAAUUAAAAGUUUAUAUUUUAACUUUUAAAAUAUAAAUAUAAAAUAUAAAAGUUUAAAUUCUAAUAUAAAAAAAAAGAUAAUAUCAUUAUUUUUUAUUUUUAACUACCAACUUUAAUUCUUAUCCCAUCUUACCUAACCAAACACUAUUUUUUCUUAUUCCCAGCAAUAACUCAAUUUUCAUCCAAAUGCAAAAUUGAUCUAAUCCUCGCUUAUACCUCAAUUUAUACCUAUCUCCGAAAUACCCACUUUUUGCUUAUCCCCGAACCAAACGAUGCCUAAAAGAAUAUAUAUAUCUCCCUUAGAUUUUUGAACUAGAGAAACUUUUUUAACUUGCACCGUCCAAUAUCUAUUUUUCGAACGCGUGCCCGAAAAAAAAAAGGGAAAAAAAAGAGAGAAGAAAUUGCUUCAAUUGUCCACAGUUUCACGACUACAGUUUGCAAUUUUCAUUGCGCAUUAAAAGCAGUGGGUGGUUUCCAUAGAAGAAUUAAAGCGCAGGGCUUGGUCCAUUUGCAUCCUCGAUUCAAUGAGAGAGCUUUUCAUUAAAGCACGGAAAAUGAUUAAAUGAUGCCUCAGAAUAAUAUUUUUAUUGGUGCCUUGCUUAUAGGAAGAGACUUUGACAACUUUAAUUAAUUAUUUUAGCUAUUUUUGGGACGUGCAUGGUAGAGAGAGAUUAAAGAGAAGACCGGAGAAAAAUGAGGUGAGAGACUGAGAGAUUCUGCAUGAAAACUGUGGGAGCGAUAUAAUUAAUCAUGCAAUAAUUUUUUUUUUUCCACUUUAUUUGUAGCUAAUUGAGAGAGAGAUAAACAAGUCUCGGGCCCAUAUUGAAAAUUGGAACCUUUGAGUGGGAGAGAAUAUAUAUUUAUGUAACAGCUCUCGGCCUUAGCGUUUUUACUUGUAAAGUCCGUACGUCGCCCACUUUUUGCCCACUUUUCUUUGCAAAAAUGGACAAGUUUUUAUCCCUAUUGCUAAUUGGGACUUUCGCAUCCUACAACUAAGUAUGCAAAGGAAAGAAAAGAGAGACAUGGAUUAACCUAAAAAAAUUAAGUACUUUUAAUUAUUUAGAAAAAAAGGAUUACAACACGUACAUACUCUUUUAUAUGUUUUGGCUUUAGCACUACAACAAAAACAGUAUAUAGAGACACUUUUAAAUGUCGGUAUAAGUUAAAAAAAGUGUUGUUGGCUAAAUUACAGACACUUUUUAGAAGUGUUGCUGUAUGUGGGGUCGCUAGGUAUAUAGUGACACUUUAAGAGUAUCAAUAUAACUUAAAAGGAAUGCUACUAAUUUACUAACACUUAUUUAUAUAAGCAUUUAGCAACCGCCGGAACCCUACCUCGUCGGUUGCGACGCGGAGGAGGAGGAGGAGGAGAGGGAGGGGCUCUUUGUCUAGGGUUUCAAUGGAUUGAGUAAGGGGAGAAGGAAAGAUGGUGAUCUAUUUUUCUUUUUUUUUUUUUCUCUUUUCUAUUUGUAAUCGGGACGAAUAGGCUAGGUGGGGUGGGUUGAGUAGAAUAACAUUUUAUUUUUGAUUGGAUUGAGCUUUAUAUUUAGGCCUUAGCAGAAUUUUUUAAAAGUUUUGGCAUAAAUGGGAUACUUAUACAAAAGUGUUCCAGAAAUGAGUCGACAUAACCUAACUCUGUUGUAGUGUAGCCACAUUCAAUAUGUAUAGGCCUAGAGAUACAAUGAACCUAGCCACCAUAACUUACCCACUAACUCACACAUAAUGAGCACUCAUAAAAGUUAAGCCCAAGAGUCUCUCCCACAACUUUUGGCAGUUUUUUUUUAAGGGAUAAUGGGGCAUAAUGGCAAUAGUUUUGCAACCCUAGAUUAUCUCACAAUGGGCCGGAUUCGGGUCUCCUUGACAAUCCGGUUCGACCCAUUCCAGCUUGCGAAGUUGGGCCAAGGAACGAGCUGUGUAGAAUUUUUCUAAGUCUCUGACGCUCUCCUACUAAUGCGCAAGCCUCCUCGUCGCAUGCUGCUUUUGGAACUCAUCAAUGAGCGCUUGGUAUAGCCAAAGUGUAUUCGUUUUUUACCAACUACUCUUGCCAUAGGGGAGAUGUUUUUCACUUCACUAAGUACUCAGGACUCGGUAGCACUCUAUGUCACCGAAUGAGUCGAGUGUUCAGGAUGGAUUUCGCUUGUUUGUCGAACGAAGUGACCAUGGUCACAGGUGCUCGCUGUGACACACCACGGCUUGGAUCCUCCGCAUCUUCGUGGUGCAGCUUCAGCCUGCUGACAUAAAAGACGUGGUGGAUCUUGAGGUUCACGGGCAGUUGCAGCUUGUAGGCUCCCUCGCCUACACGCUUGACGACGGUAAAGAGGCCUUCAUACUUGCGCGGUAGUCCCUUGUGCACCUUUCGCAAGGCCUUGAACUGCUGUGGCUGAAACUUGACCAUCAGCGGUCUCCCUCAGUGAACUACUGAGGUUGCCACUUUUCGUUAGCCCACUUCUUCAUCCGUCGUGCUGCUUUCUCCAAGUUCGCCCUUGCAAUUUCACCCUUUUCCUGCAAGUUAGUGGUAAACUGAAGAGCAACAGGGCUGCGGAAUUGCUCUUCUGCAGCAAUCGUAUGUGGGGCAAGCAGUUGUCGCCCGGUCGCUAGCUCGAAGGGGCUGCAGCCUGUAGACUCGCUGUGCCGCAAGUUGUAGGAAAACUAGGCAACAUCAAGUUGAUGCACCUAAUCCUUCUGGUUGGUACUCACAUAAUGCCGCAAGUACUCUUCCAACAGAGCAUUCACCCGCUCCAUUUGCACGUUUGUCUAUGGGCGAAAACUGAUGGAGAAGAGCAACUCGGACCCCAAGAUUUUGAACACCUGAUUCCAAAACUUGCCAGUGAACCUAGGGUUGCGGUCGCUCAUCAUGCUCGUGGGGACCCCCCAAAGCUUGACGAUGUGGCUGAUAAAGAGGUGUGCCGCUUCUUCAGCCGUGCAAGCGGUCGGUGCAGUGAUUAAGGUCCCGUACUUGAAAAAAUGAUCAAUCACCAUCAGAAUGGACCCGAGGUCUCCCACCUUUAAUUGGCAAGGCAGAGAUAAAGUCCAUAGAGAGACUUUUCCACAGACGGCUAGGCAUAGGAAAAGGCUCGAAGAGUCUGCUAGGUCGCUGGUGCUUUGUCCUGUUGACACACCAAGCAGGUUCGCAUGUAGGUCUCAACAUCUUUGUGCAUCCGCAGCCAAAAGUGGGCGGCCUCGAGCAAUGUCAGGGUCCGCUUCUGACCUGGGUGGUCUACCCACUUGGAGUCAUUACACUUCUUUAUAUGCUCAUGACGAAGGUUGCCCACUUGGGCACGUGCACCCAUCGCUCCUUAGUGAGGAGCAGCCCGUCGCUCAGUCAAAACCUUCACAUUUUGCCCUCCUUAACAAGUUGCACUAAAUUUUGAGCAAUAGAGUCCUCAUUGGUUCCUAAACGAAGUCGAUCGUGAAGCAUCCCAUGAAGUUGCCACGCGGUUGCAAGUUCAGCCUUGCUCUGAGAGCAUUAGCCAUUUAGUUUUUCUUCUCGGGCUUGUAUUGCAUCUCCAUAUUGAACUCCGCCAAGAAAUCCUCCCACCUCACUUGUUUAGGUGAUAGUUUCUCUUGCGAUAGGAUGUAGCUCGUGACGACGUUGUCGGCGUGCACCACAAACUUGCUCCCAAGCAAAUAGUGCCGCCAGGUUUGCAAGCAAUGCACCACAACGGUCAUUUCUUCUCCUAGACGGUGUAACGCCACUCGGUGUCGUUGAGCUCGCGUAGGUGAUGGGGUGUCCAUCUUGCACGAGAACACCGCCAAUGGGAAAGUCAAAGGUAUCAGUGUGUACCUCAAAAGUGCGAUUGCAGUUGGAUAGUCGCAGCACUGGAUUUUUCGUCUCCGCUCGCUUGAGGUCCUUAAAUGCCUCCGCACAUUGAGAGGUCCAAACCCACGAGUGGUUUUUCUUCAGCAGAUUAGUUAGCGGGACUGCUCUUGUAGGGAAGUCCACAAUGAAGCGGCGGUAAUAGUUGACGAGCCCAAGGAAAGGCCACAACUCGGACACCGUUGUUGACGUCUCACAUUCGAAAAUAGCUCGAACCUUCUGCUGGUCCAUGCGAAUUAGGCCCUGGCUUAUCCAGUGGCCAGUGGCCAAGAAAGUGCACUUCUUCCUUCACGAACAUGCAUUUUUCCUUCUUGAGGAACAACUGAUUCUCCCGCAGCACUUGGAAGACGGUUCGCAAGUGCUCGAUGUGCUCCUCUAAGGUAUUAUUGUAUACCACGAUGUCGUCGUGGUACACCACUACAAAACGAUCGAGGUAGGGAUGGAACAUCUUGUUCGUGAGCGUGCAAAAGGUUGCUGGAAUAUUCGUCAGGCCUAACGGUAUGACAAGAAACUCAUAGGCCCCGUACCUUGACAUGUACGUGGUCAUUUUCUCGUCUCCUUCCGUAAUUCGCACUUGAUAGUACCUAGAGCGAAGGUUGAGUUUGGUGAAGUACUACGCUCCGCCCAAUUGAUCGAAAGAUCUGCAACCAAACGGAUUAGGUUCUUGUUUGUAGCAGUUACUUUGUUAAGCGCCCUGUAAUCGAUACAGAGCCAUAGGUUUUUGUCGCUUUUUUGCUGGAACAAAAUUGGUGCUCUAUAUGGGGCGAGGAGCUCCUUCAAUUAUUUUUGCAGCUCCUCGAGCUCUAGCGGGGCCAUUCUAUAUGGCGCUUUCGCUAGAGGUUUGGCUCUUGGCUCGAGCUCGAUAGCAUGAUCCACCUCCUGUCUGGGUGGAAGUUGCUUAGGCAAGUCCUUUGGCAUGACAUCAUGAAACUCUGUCAAUACCGCCUUAAUCUCCAUCGGAAGGCUCUCUUCCUCGAGGCCCUUCUCACUCACCUUGUAAAUGGCCGCAAGGUACGUCAUCUCACCACGGCUCACACCCCUUCGCAACUGCAAGGCAGAGAGGGUCUGGAUGCUCACCGUUUUCUCCUGGCUGGCUAGGACCAUACACAGAGCCGCCUCUUUCAGAUGCUUAAGGCCCUAAGGUGUGGCAUCGGGACCGCCUUCGACGAAGCCAAGAAGUCCAUACCUAGUAUGACUUGAAAGUCGUCGAUAUUGAAAAAUAUUUCUGAUCUUUUAUUAAAAUAUUUUUUUAAAAUAAUUCGAAAGUUUAAUUUUAGUUUUAAAAAAAUUUUGAGAAAAAAAUAAAUAAUAAAUACUGUAAAAAAAAGAUUAGAAAAUGGUCAUGGAUCGAGACAUGUAGAGGAUUGUCCUAGAAGCGAAAUUGACCCUCCACAUGCCAGGCUUUCCAGUAAUUACUUUCAGCGAUAUAACUACCACGUUCCACCGCGUCGGCACACUUUCAAGGUGGCGCAAGAUGAACCCAACAUGCUUCAGAUCCAGCAAAAUAUGAAAAAGCUUGGCGAAAAUCGGCGCAAAAGAUCAAUGGCGAGAAAACAGAAAAAGGCAAGAUAGAGUAUAGGGUUUUGCUUUUAGGUAUGCCCGAGUUCAGGUUGAACUCAUGCAACCUCCUCCAAUAUAUAUAAUCAAGGCAAGAAUCUUGCUUCAACGCAUCAAUUCCAUGUAGCACAAGAUAAGCCUAAUAGGAUUAUGAUUAAAAUUAUGAUAAAGAUGAAACCAAAAAAUAAAAAUAAAAUAAAAUAAACCGGGUGCAUGAAUCACGUGCAGCGCCGCACGACCGGCCCGACUCGUGCUCGUGCCGUGCAUGCGUUUUGUCGAGAGCAUAACUCUCAUCUUUUUUCAAGCAACUAUCUUGAGAAUGAAGCAAUAUAUAAAUAGCAACAACUCACCUUUAGUUUCCAAUGUGGGACUAAACCUCAUAUAUGGAAACCUUAGUUGGACUCCUAAGUAAGGCCCAUCAAGUAUUGGGCUGUCCAAGAGGCUAAAUAAGUUUUAAAUCACCAAAAAAAUCCAAUGCAAUCUAAGAUUCCCCUACAUGAUUUAAAACUUUAAAGAAAGUAACUAAACUGAGAUUCGAAACAGCUCAAAAGAAUGCUGGAUCUCUUAUACCACGUAUUCGGCAAAGGUAACUUUCGGGUUUGAGCCUUUACUUAGUGCUCGUCAAUGUACAUCCGAGGGCACGAUGGUGGACUAUGCCUUGAACAAAGGCCGGUGAAUCGGAUUUCUAUAAACAACACACAUAGUACAACCAUUUAGGUUCUAAGCGGGUGAGCGCUUUUAUGGCCAUGCGUUAGUAUCAUUUCGUAUGUAUUUUAGGGAACCGACCUCUUCCCAUAGUCACGGCCUCACGACUCUACACAUAUAGUAGGUCCUCAAAGGGUAUCUGCAAGGUCAUACCCUGCCGCCAUAGGGAUGAGGAUGUAAAAAUAAUGCAGAUUUGUUUCUAUCCACUUGUAGAUUUGAGCACUGUCGCCAUAGGGAUGAGGAUAUAAAAAUAAUGCUUCUCAUAGCUACCUGUUCGAUUUGUUACUACCUAUUGAACCUACAACAAGUUGGGUUGCCAUCGCUGGUAACUUCUAUUGUGGGCUAAGCCCCAUCCCCCUUGACGAUUCUAGGAUCAUUAUCCUAGAUAAUUCCUUCAUAAGGUGAUCAACCGAAUUUUUUGUAAAUUUCACAAAUUUCAAUCCAAUCAUAUUUUCCUUCAAAUUCUUCCGAAUGAAUUUAUGUCUCACUUUCAUGAAUCUAUUUAUCUUAAUUAAUACAUUCUCUUAGGCAUACUUAUCUAUUACAGAUCUACAAUCACAAGGAAUAUAUAUAGAUGCUAAAGAUCGUUCCAUAAGUGGUAAAUCAUAAAAAAACUUUCUAAUACACUUAGCUUCUGUUACAGUAGUAUCCAAAGCUAUAAGUUCAGAUUCCAUAGUACUUCUAGCAAUCAAAAAUUGUUUAAUUGAUUUCCAAGAAACAGCUGCUCUUCCUAUGAGAAAAUUAAAUCCAGCAGUCGACUUUACAUCAGCUGUAUCACCGAUCCAAUCCGCAUCACUAUAUCCUUCCAAUACUGCAGUAAAAUUAGUGUAAUACAAAUACAUAGGAUAUAGUCCCCUUCAAAUAUCUCAAAACUCUUUGUAGGGCUUUCCAAUGCUCUCUAUUUGGAUUAUGGGUAUAUCUUCUCAAUCGAUUUACAGUAUAAGCUAAAUUAGGUUUAGUGUAAUCUACCAGUUAUUCUAAGGAUUCAAUAAUUUGUGAAUAUCUAUUUUGACCUGUUGGAUCUUCUCUAUUAUUCUUAAGAUGCAUACUAGAAUUAUAGGGUGCUACUACAGGUUUGACAUCAAAGUAUCCAAACUUUUUCAACAACUGUUUACUAUAGUGGGAUUGGCUCAUAAUAAUUUCUUUCGAUUUUCUAAUGAUUUUCAUAUUGAGGAUAACAUCUGCUUGUCCAAGAUCUUUUAUAUCAAAUUUUUUAUUUAAUAAUUUCUUCACAUCAUAUAUCACAUUCAUAUUCAUACCAAAAAUCAAAAUAUCAUCAACAUACAAACAUAAGAUCACUCUAUGUCCAUCAUAUUCCUUCAAAUAUACACAUUCAUCAAACAUGUUCACAUGAAAACUAUUUGAUACAACCAAAGAGUCAAAUUUUAAAUGCUACUGCUUAGGAGCUUGCUUAAAUCCAUAUAAAGAUCUAUUUAAUUUGCACACUUUGUUCUCAUGCCCAGAAACUAUAAAGCCUUCAGGUUGCUUCAUAUAAAUUUCUUCAUUUAAAUCACCAUUCAGAUAGGCUAUCUUAACAUCCAUUUGACGAACAAUCAAAUUAUGGAUAGAGGCUAAGAUAAUCAACACUCUAAUAGAAAUAAUCCUAACAACAGGAGCAUAAACAUCAAAGUAAUCUACCCCAGGCUUCUGUGCAAAUUCUUGUGUCACUAAUCUAGCCUUAUUCUUAUCUACAGAUCCAUCGGGUCUCAAUUUUUUCUUAAAGAUCCAUCCACAACCUACAGGCUUACAUCCUAGAGGUAAAUCAGUCAACUCUUAAGAAUGAUUCUGCAAAAUAGACUGCAUCUCAAUAUUAAUAGCCUCCUUUCACAACGAUACAUUUACAGACUUCAUAGCUUGGUCAAAGGUAGAUAGAGUAUCUUCUAUUAGUAGGACACAAAAAUCAUCUCCAAAAAUUUUCGCUAUUCUAGGACGCUUACUUCUCCUAGGUUCAGUCUCUCCUAUAGGUUCACUUAUUCUAGGUCUGCUAGAGCUACCUAUAAGCUCAGCUUGAAUAGGUCUAUUUACUCUAGUCCUAAAAAGAAAAAUAUUCUCAAAGUACAUGGCAUCUCUAGCCUCAAUAAUAGUGUUAUUAGAAAUUUCACUAAUUUUAGAAUUUACCACCAAAAAUCUAUUUACAUUGUUAUCUUUUGUAUAACCUACAAAAACUGUAUCCACAGUCUUAGAUCCAAUAUUUCUCUUUUUAUUCUCAGAUAUCUUCACUUUAGUUAGGCACUCCCACACUUUAAAAUAAUUAAAAUUAUGCUUUCUACCUUUCCAAAACUCAUAGGAAGACACAUUAAAAUUUUUGUGAAAAAUUCUAUUUAAAAUCAUACAUGCAGAAAUCAAAGCUUCCCCCCACAAGUUUUUCUUGAAGUUCCUAUAAGGUUGAAAGUUUCUACCAUUAUUUUUGGGAUGCACUACUAGGUUGGCUUGGGUCGAAGGUUCACUGGGCUUCUUAUCUUUACCUCGAUUCGACUCUUCUAUCCUAAUGGAUCUUAGGACAUAAUUCAGAGAUAGCUCUCUUUGAUUGUGGUUAAGAUUAUUUGCAUGGUUUAAUCAAGAGAGUGACAACUUAUCUAUAAGGGCGGCAACUAAGAAACUUUUAUCAAGAUCUACAGCACUAGGUCUAAACUACUCAACUAUAUGCUUAAAAUCAUGAAGCUGGUUAGAUAUAGACUUAUUAUUUACCAACUUAAAUUUAAUUAGAUCUGACGCCUAAUAUCUCUUCUGGGUAGGAUUAACCUGACCACACUUGUUUUCUAAGAAAGUCCAAAGUUUCCUAGCUACUUUAGCACUAUAGUAUAUGUCAUACAAUUUGUCAGAUAUGGUACUAAGAAUUUGGUUUAAACAAUGGUAGUUGAUCAUAUUAAGGUCAAUAGGAGGUAUGGUUCUACGUGUAGAUGUAGUUGCAGUUUUAGUAGAGGGAGGAGUGGAUCCAGCUUGGGCUUGGCUUCGAGUAAUCGGUCUGUUGACUGCAGUCUGCGUUGCAUCUUUAGGUGCAGAUCCAUUGUCAUUCUCAGCAGUAUUCGAGAUAGCAAAAAUCAACCUAAGUAUGGUGAGCCAGAACCUCAUUUGGUUUUGCCACCUCUUAAAAUUACGACAAUCAAAAGUGAAAGAUUUCAUCGAAUCCUCCAUAAUAAAAAGUCUGUUCACAAAUAAUUCUACUGUUAUGUUACAAAAUAGUUUUGAAUUUCAAAAGAAUAACAAUAAGAUAUUCUACAUUUUAUUCAGGGAGAUUACGAAAUAUAUAUAUAUAUAUAUAUAUAUAUAUUAAUUUGUAGAAAAAAAUAUUUUAAUUACUAUAAUAAAAGAAACAGAAAGAUUAAAUUAAAAUUUCGCUUUUAGAUAUUUAUUGGAGGAGGUUGCAUGAGUUCAACCUGAACUCGGGCAUACCUAAGAGCAAAACUCUAUUCUCUACCUCGUCUUUUUCUUUUUUCUCGCCAUUGAUCUUUUGCGCAACUUUUUGCUGACUUUCUUAUAUUUUGCUGGAUUUGAAGCUUGUUGGGUUCGUCUUGUGCCACCUUUAAAGCUAGCCGACAUGGUGGAACGUGGUCGUUGUAUCGCUAAAAGUAAUUGCCCGGAAGCCUCGCACAUGGACGAGCAAUUUCGUUUCUAGGACAGUGCUUUGUACGCCACGAUCCACAUGCCUUUUCUAAUCUUUUUCUUUAUAGUAUUUAUUAUUUAAUUUCUUUCUCGAAAUUUUUCUAAAACUAAAAUUAAACUUUCAAAUUAUUUUUAAAGAAUAUUUUAAUAAAAGAUCAUAAAGAUUUUCCAUCAGUCGAUGGGUGCGGCGGUGAAAUUUGCAUUGCUUUUUCAAGGUCCCAUCGUAAUGGCCAUGCCCGCAACAGGCUGUACCUCAGAAUUGACAACCUUGAUCCUGCUCGCAUCCUUUUAAAGGGGAAGGCCUAUCCCCUUGGUCUCCUCCUCGGCAAUGAAAUUGUCUAUCCCUUGGUCUCCUCCUCGGUGAUGAAAUUAUGAGCGGCUCUCGUGUCCACCAACGCUCAGGUAGCCCUACCGUUAAGGGUUGUAUCAAUGUACAAGAGCUCCUUGUUGAGAGGCUUACUGCUGCUUGCCAGCCCUUGAACCAUGUUGACGAGCUUGAGCGCACCUAUCUUCGUCGGUUCCCCAUUACCCAUGCCUGCUCAGUCUGGACAGCAUUCACCAGCUUUUUCUUUUGGGCAAUCCCUCACCCAAUGGUUCACAGCGCAAAUGUAGCACGUCAACUUUUUUGGCGGCAGCAUAGGACCCCUCUCGCGGCCCUUUACUUUCCUUCUGGUCACGGCGGUCUCCCCUACCCUUAGCCUUGCUCUCUUUGGGUACCUUGUUGCAAGAUGGAUCAGCCCUGUCGUACUCAGGAAAUUUCUCCACCAUGGCAAUUGCAGAGGCUACGUCCUUGACGUUACGCCCCACAAGCUCCUUGUUCGCCUAAGGUUAGAGCACGUUAAGGAAUAAGAACAAGAGAUCUUCCUCAACCAUGUUGGUGAUGGACAAUAUAAACACAGUAUUCUUUGACAAACUCCUUGAGUAUCCCAGUGUGUUUGAGCCCUCCCCCUUGCAAGAUAUUUGACGCGCUUGGGGUAGAACUGCGCCUUGAGCUCGCGCAAAAAAUCCUCCCACUUCUUCAGGUUGCAUUGGCCUUUCUCGGCCUCUGCAGAGAGCUGACGCCACCACAGGAUCGCGUCAUCAGCAAGGUACAUGGACGCGGCAUGGACUUUUUCCUCCUUAUCGUUCAGCCGCAGUGCCUUGAUGUAGCACUCCAUGUGCCAUAGAAAGUUUUUGAUCUUCUUUUCAUCGCAAGUACCCCUGAAAUUUUGAGGCUCAGAAACUCGUACUUAAGAAGCAGACUCUCUUUGUGGUUCAUGCCCAGAUACAACGGCUUUUUCAAGGAUCGUCACCCGCAUCUUGAGGUCCUCGACCACGUCAACUCGAGCAACGAGUUCCUCAAUCAGCUUCUUUUGCUCCUUGUCACGACGAGUCAUGUUGCCUUGAAUCUUUUCAAGUUCGCUUCGAAAGGUUGCUAUGGUAGUAGCGACGCUUUCCUCCAUGCUGUGGACUUCGUCAUUAAAAGAGUUAAAGGAAUCAGCCGUUUUGGUGUAUCUUUUAUUCAUUUUCAAUAUUAUGUACUCCAACAACACAAUAUGGUCCUCUAGCAAUAUGGAAUCCCUUGUGAUUGCCCUCAGUUCUAUACUCUUGCCCCGUUUGGAGGGCUGUCUUAGAGGGUCACCCACAGUAUCAAUGACGACAGCAUCGGAUGCCGACAUGGUUGCUUCUCGAAUUGACUCUAAUACCAACUGUCACAACCUUAGUGUUUUUACUUGCAAAGCCCGUGCGGCGCCCACCUUUCUUCGUAAAGAUGAACAAGUCUUUGUCCUUAUUGCCAUUACCUUCCUAAAUGGUCACAGAUAUCACGAAUAUCCCCUAAUGGUUGGUUUUCAUCCAAAAUAGCCAUUACAGUUAUAAAAUACACAUUUAGUCCUUAUCUUUUAUCUCAUUAAUGAAUACUGCUUAAAUUUUCUAUUUGCUGAUAUACAAAAUUUUUCAAAAAUGCCUUCUUAUUUUUUUAUCGAUAAUUUUCAUCGUCACGCUUACAUCACACGAAUAAUUUGAAUUCCAAAUUAAAAUAAAAUUAAAAUUAAAAUUCAAUAUUUAAAUUUAAAUUUAAAAUCAAAUUCAAUAUUUGAAUUUAAAUUUUAAAUUUGAAUUUAAAAUUGUGAAUCGAUUUCAAAUUCAAUUUGAAUAUUAAAUUUGAAAUUCUAAAAUUUGAUUUAGAUUUUAAAUUUUAAAUUUAAAUUUAGAAUUUAAUAUUUAAAUUUAAAUUUAAAGUGUAAAUUUUAAAUUUUAAGUUUUAGAUUCUAAAUAUCCAAUUGUAAAUUUUAAAAUUUUGUAUUUUAAAUUUAAAUUUAGAUUUUGAACUCAAAUAUCAAAAUCUAAAAUGUAUUCUAGAUUUUAAAUUUGUAAUUAAUAUUCAAAAAUUAAAAUUAAAUUUGAGAAAUAAAAUUUUGCAAAACAAAUUAUUAUUGCAAACAGUGAAAAAAUGUUGCUAAACAGUUUAGCAAAAUUAUUUCAGAAAAAUUACUUUCUAAGACAAAUAUUCUAUAGCUUUUAACUAAAAUUAAUUUCUAAAUCAAAAUUAAUUUUUCAGAAAUCACUUUUGCAACAACCAAGUCGACAAGUCUUGCUUUUCACUGUUGUGGCAUUUCAUUUGAGUUGUUAUUUCCGAUCAGAUAUUGAUACUUUACCAAUACUUAAUUGCAUGAUUAACAUUUAGAAUAUAGCAUUUAAUUAACAUAAAUAAUUACAUUUGUAAUAAAAUAACUUUUGUGUGAAAAUUGCACACAACAUGUUACAAGAAAAUUUUAUUAUAAUGGAGUCUGUUUAACGAUGCUUAAUUAGCGUUCUCAAACUGUUCCACUAUAUAGUAAAUACAGAUGCUUUAAAACAAUAUAGUAAUAUGAACUAUGUCAAAUCAAUUUAUUAAAAGAUAAAUUAAAGUGCAUCAUUAGUUUUUAUUUUUCCGACACUUUAAAGUAUCAAAAUUUCAAAAAUCCUAAUGCUUUAUGGUUUUGGAAUAUGUUGCAUCAACGCAUGGCAUAAAUGUCAAUGUAUGCGUAACGACUCUUUAUUUGACAACAAUUUUGUCGAUACUUUCAAAUAUAACAGUAUACUAUUUUAGAACAUUUUUUGAUAUCAUUGAUUAUCGAGAAAGCUUCCUUAAAUAUUAAUUUUCUUGUAGUAUAUAUCAUAGGGACAAUUUCAUAACUACCCCAAUAUCUAAAAAUAUGUCAAAUACCUCAGAAAAUAUCAAAAUAUCACACAUGCCCUUCCAAUGUAAUGAGCUAUAUCAUAAAUGCCCCUACCAUUAAUCUCACAUCACGGAGCGUUACUUUAACCUUAGUUCCAGACUAGUUUAAUAUUAAUUAAGUUUUAAAAUACCAAUUUUAUCCCUAAAUAGUUUCAAAGUUUAUUGUCAGAUUUUUAAUUCAGAUUUUAAUUUAAAUUUAUUUGCCCAAAUUUAAAUUUAAAUUUAAAAUUUAAAAUUUGAUUUUAAAUUCAAAUUGAGAUUUUGUACUUAAUUUUACUUUCAAAUCUAGAUUUUGAAUUAAUUUUAGAUUCAUUUUCAAACUUUAAUUUUGAAAUUCAAUUCAGAAUUUGAUUAAUAGGAGCAAGAUACAAGAAGAACUCCUUCACAAGAGCAAUUAGAAAACACUAUAAUUUGGUUGCUUUUCAUUUCACCCAAAUCGUAUGUAUAGAGUUUUUCAAAUGACUAUUUAAAACUCCCAAAAUGGCAAAACAUUCAAGUUCAGCUUGGAAAACAUGUAAAUAUUCACUCCUAACAAAAAAUUUAAAAANCAGUAUAGCGCGUAAAUCCCACAGCGUAGUGCACCCAUCCUACAAAGAAUAGUGUGUGGAUAGUUGUCGAUCAAUUUUAGAAUGCAAAGACUACACUCUUUUCUUUACAAACAUAAUUUUUGGAGACACGAUCGAACAGCAUUUUUCUUUUUUUGAAACAAGCUGGUAUAAAUCUGUAACUAUUAUUCCACUCUUUUUUCUGGAAUAAGUUUGUUCCCAAGUAAGAACAAGCUUAAUUAAAAUUUAAAUUUAAAUUUAAUUAUGAUAUUAAAUUAUUAAUUAAUCUAAUUAAUAUUUUAAAAUUAUUAUCUAUUGCUUAAAUAAUAAAGUAAUUAAUUAAUUUACUAUUUAUAAUUAAUUAGCUGAUAAAAAAUUAUAAUUUAAUGUUUUUAUCCGUAAACUAAUAUUUAUAUUGAUCAAACAUUAAUAUUUUUACUAUUCUAAUUAAUUUCCUUACAAUUAAUUAAUUAAUAUAUUAAUAUAUUAAUUUAAUGUGUUUAUAUUAAUUAAUUAAUAUAUUUUCAUUUCUUAUACAAUAUCCACAGCUAUAAAUUUAUUAAUAUAUUAAAAUAUUUUUAAUUUAUAUUUUGAUAUUAAUUAAUUAGAUAAAAUAUUUUUAAUUUAAAAUUAUAACUCUUAUUCGUCUAUUCCAAACUAACUAUCCAAACACUAUUUAUCUUAUCCACAAGAACUACCUAAUUUCAUUCAAACGUAAAAUUUGCCUAAUUAUUGCUUAUAUCUGAACUUAUAUCAAUCCUUGAAAUAAGCAGUUACUUAUACCCGAACCAAAUGCAGCCAAAAAAUAAAAAUAAAGUAAAUGUACUAAAUUGUGAAUUGCAGCAAGUGGCACUUCUCUGUUCUUUUAAUCUUGAUUUCAAUGUAGUUAAAUGAAGAUUCCAACCGAAGCUUCCAAUAUAUAUAUAUAUAUAUAUAUAUAAAAGUUCCUUCAAAAGUUAUUUACAAAUAACUAAAUAGAUACGCAUGAUAAUAGUACUCUACAUCCAUAUAUAUUUGAUCUCAUGCCACGCUGAUAGUGAUGUCAAUUCAUAUACUUUUUCAUUUCUGCGCCAUGUGCACGAACUUAAUUUGUCAACAUCCAAGACCUAAGUAUAAUAUAUAUGUACAAUAUUGUAUUUAAUGUUACAUAUAAUAAUGCAUUCUUGUGGUUGUUGGAUCCCUCUAACUGAGAUUUAUCUCGAAGAUGAUAAUCUCAUAUUUAUUAUUAUAUUUUAAAUAUUCUACGCUGCGGUCGCCCAAGAUUGUUCCGUGUUACACCAGAUGAAUAAAUAUUACAGAUUUUCUCCUCAACAGGACAAUAUACAUAUUAUAAAUAUGUAGGCAUUUUUUUUUUUUCCAUUGUUCGUCUCUUUUAAACCUAACGGUCGCGCGAGGGUGUGUCCUUGAAAAUGUGGGGUUGUGUAAGCUACUCUUUUUCCCCCUCCACGACUCCACGGUUUAAUUGCUUAUUAAUUAGUAGCUAGCAUGCGUACCCACGUGGUAUUACGAAUCCACGAACCGCAUCAACGUCAUCAAAGAAAUCUCAGUCAACGCCCUCUCCUCGAACUUUCUCCCUCUUUUCCUUCAGCGAGUACACUUCUCCCUCUCCCCUUCUACACCUGUAUUCUUAAUUUUGAGUGCUUGUCCCUGAGCUCUUGGUCGAUUUUAAUUUAGUCCCCAGGCCAACUUUUCCUAAUUAAUUUGACAUUAGUGAUUCAAUUCCCACAAUCCAAUCAGUUGGUAGGGUGUAAGCAAUAAUUAUUUAUUUUUCCAAUUACAAUAAGGAAGGACGAGACAAAUGUCAGGUUUUAAAUGUCGAGGUCAAUGCAUGGGCUCUAAUGUGAAAAUUGAAAGUUCGAGGACCAAAGUGAAAUGCGGCCAAUAUACGAACCCAUGCAAUAUUAUUAUUAUUAUUAUUAUUAGUUUAUUUUACAAUAUUAUGAUACAUUUUUAAAUUAUUUCAUAAUUUACGUGUACACAUAUCCUCGCUUUGUUUGUCGCGUAUUGUGCAGGUAAUAAUAGUGUAGUCGGAUAAGUAUAUAUGUUGAUGACUAGGACAAGUAAUGGGUGGUCUACGAGGGCGUUGUGGAUGGCAUAUAUGUAUAUAUAGAAGGUGCUUCGUGAAGUCUCUAUGCGUUCAAAAUUAAAGUUGUUUUUGUCAAUGAAUGGUCAAAUAAAUCAGCUAAGGAAGACGUGCGGAAUGGUUGAUGUGGAGAUACCGGAUUAAGAUGGGGCACACCAAUCUGCUAGAGUGUUCACACGCUUGUGUGCUAUAUGCAUCGUGGUAACUUAAAAGGAAAUUAAGAUCCUUGUUUUGGCUUUGACAAAGGGAGGAUAUAUAAAUUAUUUCUCUGUGUGUGCCGUACUCGAUCUCUUAAUCAUUCAUUUUAUUUCAUUCUUCAGUUAUAAUUGUCUAUUUGUGCAACAAUUAGGGUUAAUUAUUCGCUAAUUAGAAUGUACGUACGUAUAGAUUGAAAUAUGUAUGAGAUGCCUCAAAUGAGCAGUUGCUUUGAUGCACGCGUAGGGCGACGACCUUGCUAGUGCAAACAAUGUUUUCCUUUAAAGAGAGAAAGGAAGAAAUUUCGUAGGUCUAUGGAACCGACAUCUGAUUAUAUUAAUCUAUUGAUAAAAUUACUUGGUGAUUAAGAAAAAAAUAUAAAUUAUUAAACAUAUAUUAUCUCAUUUUGGAGAAAUAACUAUAUAUAUUAACUAGCACAUUAAUCCUCAAAUGACCUCGCAGAGCUAGAUUGGUCUAAAAUUUUUAUCAAGAUUGAAUUACUUAUAUUUGAUAUUCUAUUUGAUUUAAUGGUCAAAUGUCUAAUUAAGUGAUUGUAUAUUUGGAUGAUCGUGAUUGCGACUUGUAUAUUUGACUAUGAAGACCAACCUCACGUACGUACCGUGUUUGAUCAGCAAUGGCCUUGUCCAUGUUACGUUUUACUGGUUAUAGUACCUUCUUAAUUUUUAAUAUAAAAUGGAUGGCAAAUAGAUUUAUCACCAUCUUAAUUAAUCAUGUAGGGCGUGAAUCUUGCAUUAAAUUAAACAGUAGUAAUGGGUGAGGAACAUAUACAACCUAGCUAGCAAUGCAUGCAUCUACCUCUUGCAUUAAUUGAAUUGUAGCUGUUAUGGUACUUUUGGCCAUGCACAUGUAGGAUGCAUGCACUAGCUCGUAGCAUGCAUUUCGUUGGAUUUUAAUUACUUGGCCAGGAAGAAUAGUGUAAGAAUCCGAAGCAUGAGGGGUACAUAGUUUUACUCUACAUAAAGAAGCAUGAUAGUUAAUUAUAUCAUGCAUGCAAAUAUGUAGCAACUUGUGAGCACAUAGUAAUUGUGGGCAAGCUAGUAUUUAGGACUAAGGGCAUUUUUAGAUCUUUUUAGAGGGUGAAGUGCAAUACGGAUAUAACUUCAGAAAAGAACGCAUAAUAAAAAGAUAUCAUAGUUUCAUUGUAUAUACUAACAAAGAGCCCGCGCUUUGUAGCGAGACCUUUUGUUUUAAUAUAAAUCUUAGCUAUUAUAUAUUACAAUAAUAAAGAUUAGGGAUACAGUAAGCUGUUGUUUAGUUGGAUUGAUGUAAUUAUAACUAUAGUAUAGCUAGAGAUACAUUGGAGUUGAAAUAGAAUGAUUACAACUGCAUUUAUCUUUUUUAAUUGAAUGAAGUAAAAAAUGUUACAACUAUAAACAAUUUGUUCAAUGUUAUACAGUUAGAACCGUUUUUAUAAAUUUAUUACUUUAUAUACGAUUGUGAGAUUACCUAUAAUAUAGAAAAAAUGGAUAAUUGCUUAUAUACCCCUCAAAACUUCGAAAAUAUCUCAUUUACCCCUAACUUUUUUUUUCUUUCCAAUAUACCUCUCAUAUUUUCCUCCGUUAUUUCAAAAUAACCCUGCAGUUACCACCCGUUAAGUUAAUUUGGGUUAAAUAUGAGUUAAAUAUCUACCACUGUUAAAAAAUAUUAAAAUACUACUUUUGCCCUUAACUUAAAGGCAAAUAAGAAAUGUUGGUGAUAGUAGAAGAGUAUAUUUGAAAAGAUCAAAAAGAAAAAUACUUUUUGUGCCCCUAACUUAAGGGCAAAUAAGAAAAGUCAGUGAUAGUAGAAGAGUAUAUUUGAUAGGGCAAAACAAUACUUUCACAGAUAUAACAGAGUUUAUUAACAGAUUUUAACUCUAGGGAUAUAAUAGAAAUAGAUUGGAACGUAAAAAAUGUAUUUUCAAUAUUAGCCUUCUAAGAGGGGUAAAUCAGAAAGUCGGAAAUUUUUCAGGGGUAUAUAAGCAAUUGCCCCUAGAAAAAAAUAGCAUGUUAUCCGCUUCGUUUAUUUUAUUUAAAAAUAAACUUAGCUGAAAAUGUGAAUCAACUAGAAUUCGAACUUAAAACCUUGGAUACCAACCACCAAGCCAUUUGCCACUUGCACUAGGGACAAUCAAUGCUUAUCUAUUGUUGAAACUUAUUCUCUUCAAUUGUUAUGGCUGAAACUGUGACUAAUUUAAGCAUAAUUUCAGUUCAAGCAGUUAGAACUGACAGUUAAAAGUUUAUACAUUAACAAUCAUACAUUGUAAAAGAAUCUAUUAAAUUAGAGCUUAAAAUUUAGGGUAAACUUCAAAUACCACCCAUGUGGUUUCGCACUUUCUCACUUUAGUAUCAUAUGGUUUAAAGUGUAUCAAGUUAGUGUCCUGUGGUUUCAUUUUUAUCUUUUCGUCAGCUUUUCCGUUAAUAUUUUAUUAAAUUAUAUAAAAAAAACUUAAGAUAACCCACCUAGGUUUAUCAAAUAUUCACUUUAAUAUCCUUUAGUUUUAACUUUGUCACUGAUUUAAUGAAAAAAAUUAGUGGAAUCGAUAAUAAAAAGAAAAAAAUGAAACCAUAAGAUACUAAAUUGAUACACUUUAAACCACAUGAUACUAAAGUGAGAAAGUGUGAAACCACAUGGGUGAUAUUUGAAGUUUUUCCUAAAAUUUAUAAUCUGAGAUUUGGGUCUCACAGUUGACUCAGGUAUCUACACAAAUAUAUACAUGCCUCACGUUUAUCAACCUAAUUUUUUGAACACCAAAUCACUCCUAAGGCAGCCAAUACAUUAUACUUUAGAAAUCAAUUAUAAGAAAAAUUAUGAGUAACAAGGGUCUAUACUCAAUAAGAGCUUAAGAUAAUCCCCAGCCUAAUAAUAUAAUAUAAUAAUAAAUAUAAUAAUAAAUAACUAUAUAUAUAUAUAUAUAGUUGGACUUAGCUAUAUAGUAGCAAAAUUCCAUUGUUACUACCAGUUUUUUAGUCUUUGAUUAACUCUUUUCAUUAUUUUCUAACCACGAUAAAUACAUAACCCAGUGGGGAACAUUCAAUACUCGGGGACCCAAACUCUAACCGACAAUACAUCCUGACCCUAGAAACAUAUAUUUCAUUCCAAAGUUAAAAACUUGAUAGCAAAAGAGCGUUUACUAUUAAUAGAAUUCCACUCAACACUCUCUCUCUCUUCUCUCACUCUCUUCACCUCGUCUUUUUGGUAGUCCUGAUUAUUCAAGAUCUCUCUCUCCAUCUCUUCUAUCUUCUCUCUUCUAAUAUAAAUAUAUAUAUAUAUAUAUAUAUAUAUGCAGACAUACCAUUAAACACCAAUGACUGGUGCAUAAAUUUUCUGCCAUUGCAUUAAACAAUGUGUGGUUAGGAUCGCAUGCCCCUAGGUAUGAGUUGUUACAUAGUUUAAUCGAACGAUGAAAUUCGAUAAAAGGUUAAUAUCUAACAGGAAGAAAACUUGAUAGGCACCAAUAACUUCGUACUACUCGAUAGAUCCCACCAGACUCUAUACUAUAUAAAACUAGACUAAUAUACUACUUCAUAGCACCGAUCAUUGGUGCACCUAAUUUUGCUAUUGAUUUAAGAAUGUGCAGUUAGGCAUGAUUGGCCUUCUAGGAUUGAGUGGUGUUUGUUAAUAGAUGAUCUAACGGUGAAAGUGAUCAAAAGGGUAGAUCAACGACGAAAAACUUGAAAAAAAAAAAAAAAAAAAAAAAAAUAGCACUAAGGCUUCUGCUAUUAAUACCAUAGUAGCCGCACUAUUAUAUAUAAUAUACUAUAAUAUUAUAUAUAAAAAAAAAAAACAAAAAAAAAAAAAAAAAAAAAAAAAAAAAAAAAAAAUAAAAUAAAAAAAAAAACACAACAACAACAAAAAAAAAAAAUAAAAAAAAAAAAAAAAAAAAAAAAAAAAAAAAAAAAAAAAAAAAAAAAAAACAAUUGAUAAGAAGGCUUCUGUGCUCUCAGGAGACGGAGCACUCGCGUGAUCCUGAGUCAUUUUCGAUGAGGAAUUUUCAAUUGAUAUCGGAACUCCGUUAGACCUUAUCUAGGUUUUGAAAUUUUUAGAAAUAAUUUUGCGAUUUUUGAUAUCUUACUAUGAUCGAAAUAAUUCAAAUCAAUAAUUUUUUUUAAUGUUUGAUAUCGCGACUUUUCAAGUCUAAACGUGUGAAUAUUCAAACAAUGAAAAUUUGAACAAAUUCUUUAUACUAUCUACAACCAGACAAUAUUUCUGAUCGAAAAUUUUAGUGCUAUAUCACCACUUUUUAUAGAAUUUUUAUUUUCAGCCGUUAAAAAUUAUUAAUUUUAAAUUCUUUCGAUUGCUAGUUAAAUGAUAUUAAAAAAUCGCAAAAAUUAUUUUCUAAAAAACUUCAAAUACGCUAGAUCAAGUCUAACGGAGCCGAUCGUCGAUUCGUAAAUUCCAGCAUCAAAAAUGGCUUAGGAGCAUGGAGGCCUCCGUACUCCUGAGAGCAUAGCAGCCCUACUAUAUAUAUAUAUAUAUAUAUAUAUAUAUAUAUAUAUAUAUAGAGAGAGAGAGAGAGAGAGAGAGAGAGAAAGAGAGAGAGAGAGAGAGAGAGAGAGAGAGAGAGAGAAUUAUGCUGCUAUACUAUCAAUAGUAUCAAGUCCUUGGUACUAUUGAGUUUUUGGCCGUUGGAUGAAAAGAUGCGCGGUUAGGAUGAUAGUG
rnacentral:lncRNA from 1 species